rnacentral:lncRNA from 1 species
UUUUUUUUUUUUUUGGUCCUUUUGGGUAAAUGCAUCACAGUGUAAACUAGCUAUUUAAAAGAGAGAGAGAGAGAGAGAGCGAGAGAGAGAGAGAGAGAGAGAGAGAGGGGGAGAAUCGUAGAAAUGGUGAGUCAUCUUUAGAUUCCAUUAUAACUUACUAGUGCUAUGUCGCGAGACAGUUGCAGAGUGAGGGGAAAAUGUCAAUGCACAGCAAAUUGUAGGACUACGUUUGAAACUUGAAUUGCAAACGUAAUACAAAUAUCUGUUGUGUCUUUGAGGCUAAGUAUUGUGCAGUUAUUCAGUCACUCAACCAAUCACGUUGAGCAAGUCUUGUGACAGCUGAACUGACUAAUAAAUGCCAAGCAACUGAGAACGAAGAAGCUAAGAGCCUUGCCGACUCUAGCGCGUCGCUGGCGUGUCGGCAAAUAAGAAAGCAAUAAAUCACUACUAGAUGUUGAUUAAACAUUACCUAUACAAUCGACUUGAUCGGACGGACUUUUGAACCAAAUCAUCCAGAUGAUUUUUUUUCCAAAUCAAUUUGCAAGCGUGAUAAAGAAGCAUUAUAAUUUGACUCAGAUAAUUUUUAAUUUGCAUUAAAAGUAAAGCAUCCAUAACUCUGGUUUCUCCACACAAUUACGCCGCAAAGGCUGAUUGAGUCUCUUCCGAGAAAAAAUUUCAUGUCGAAUCAUUUUCAGUUGACUACUGACUCGAUGAGUUGCUUUGGCUUAACUUCUCAGGAAUGCCACGACUCGGGAGAAAGGCAGACUUAAAGGGAUCUAAUUCUAUUCCAUGGAUUUGCAUGAAGAAUCUUGCUAUGGAAUUAAUUCCAAAAACGGACAAGAGUAGAAAGACCGCUGUCAACAAGUUCGUUUCUGAUAUUUUGCUAUACUCUUGUCUCGUAGUGUUAAUUUCCAGAUAUGCUGCUUAUGGACUUUGACAGUUGCAAAGUCUGAAUGUGAAUUUGAAGAUAAACGUUAGAGAGGAGAAAAUUGCAAAGGCGUUGGAAAAUGGGAGCUGUUUGGCGGAAAUUUCACAAUUUUAAAAUGUCUGUUUGGAUUGUGAAUUAUUAGAGAUAUUUUUACUGUAGCACUUUUUGUGAUGUGAUGUAUGUGAGAUAAAAAGGUAAUUGGGAAGGUAAAAAGGUGUAUUGAAAAUUGUAAUGAUGAUGUAAGCAAAUAAAUUUGGGGAAAUAAAACCCAAUCCAAACAAACAUGAAUCUGAUAGAUUAGAAACUAGCAAUAUGUAUGAUAAAUACUACUCCCUCCGUCCCGUUUUGUUAGUCUUGGUUUUUUUUUCACACAGAUUAAGAAAGUGUAAUUAAUUUGGUUGGAAACAUAAAUUUAGAUUAAUAAUUUCCUAAAAUACCCUUAUGCUAAUCAUGAAGAGUGCCAAUUAAUAUCAGCUAAUGGUACCAAUAAAUAUCAGUUACCGCCAAUAGUGCACCCUGAUUGUUUCAAUUACCGCCAAUAGUGCCAAUAAAUAACAAAGAUAGACUUCUCAUUUAUCUAUGUAUUGGAAAAGCUCAAUGUAUUCAAUGUAGUGGGUUAGUAUCUAAUAACAAUGUAUUAAUAACAAGAUAUUUAAUAAGGGUAUUUUAGACAAUUUGAAAGAUUACUACAUUCUUUAAUGGGAAAGUGGACUACAAUUUGGGACAGACGAAAAAGGAAAACAAGACUAACAAAACGGGACGGAGGGAGUACGUAGUAUAGUUUCGUUUGGAUCAAGGAAUUUGAUGAAAAAUUUGAAAUUCACCCAAAUCGCUUCAAUAGUUUAUAUAGUUCAAACAAUAUUUAAGUUUGUAAAUUCAUCAAUUAUCAAAAUACAUUUUAAAUACUAAAAUAAUCAGUAAUUACAAAUUCAAAUACCUUUCAAAUAAUCUAAACAACUAGAAUGAUUUGAUAAGAUUUUAAAUCUUUCGUCAAAUCGUUCAAUCUAAACAUAAACCUUCGAAAUCUAUAGAAAGGGUAUAUGAACCCCGUUAUCAUUCCUCAGCAAUAUCAUGACUCUUGAGAAAGAAAUUCUAUUAUACAAGCACAACUUCCAAAACGGAUUUGCUAUUAAAAUUCCAAAACGGAUAAGACAAACCGCAUUCAACAAGUUCGUUUUCGCAGAAGAAUUGCAGUAGUCUUGCACCGUUAAUUCCGGAUACACCUUUUAUUGAUUUUGACAGUCGCAAAGUCUGAAAUGCGAAUUGGAAGUCACGCCCUAAGAAUAAGAGAGGAGAUAACUGGGAUGUUUUAGCGAAUUCGAGAAAAUUCCCAAUGUGCUUGAAAAAAACUAUAGUGGUUCAUCACUUGGUACAGCGUUUGUUUGGAAUGCUAUUUUUUGAAGUUUUUAUAAAAAAAUAUAAUGUGGCGAUUUGACGUAUGUGAGGUAAAAUGAUUAAAAUGUGAUUACGAAAAACGUAAAAAUUUUUUGAGAAAAAAAAUGCCUUUCCAAACAAGGACGCGAAAUACAUCUUUGGUAGUAGUAAGAUACUUCAUCUGCAACGAGUAAGUCAUGUGUUCGACUCAUUAAAAAAAGUAAGAAUCACUAUUGAUCCCUUGAAAUAAAAAAGAGAAAAAAAAAGUAAUUAUGAUAUUGAAUUACAUCUCAUAAAAUGAGAGUAUACUAUGUACUGGAAAUAAUAAUUGAAUAGAAAUAUAUAUAAAAAAAAAAAACCACAUUAUUCUUAAAGAACUUUCGAUUUUGUAGAAAUAAAUUACCAUGACGACCUAUAAUUGAGGAGAAGAAAUGUAGGAGGAAGGGUCAAUUGUUGUUUAGUGCUCUUAUAAAUUUUAGUUUUGGAGGCUGCAGAGUUGAUGAUGUUUGCAUCAAGGAUUCGAGUCUUGCACCCAAUUGAAGUACGUGAAGUUGUAGCAUGUUGAGGGGGCGACUGUCCAUGUGCUGCGAUCAAUGAAAGUUUUCAUUCUUUGCUAAAAAAAGAACAAGAAAAAGUACGUAAACUUUUGUUGCAGAGGUAGCGUAGCUGACCGGGGAUUGGCCUACCUAAGAUGCACCGACAACAGGGCAAUUCAUCAGCACGAUGACUCGUUAAUUCUGAGCCUAUUAAGGGCCUGCAUUAAGUUGGAAAGAUCAAAUGCAAGACUCUGCUUAUCCAGUUGUAUCUGUUAAACUAUAUGAUAGAACUAUGAUUUUGAAUAUUAUUAUUUUCUGUCUUGUGUUUUCUAUGAUUUUUCUGUUGUUUUCCUACGAAACUAGAGAAAAAUCCUAUUGAAACAUGAUAUUUUCAUUUUAACUUCAAACAAUCUACCCGACAUGAUGAAACAUGGAACAAUCUAGCACCAGAUGCUUGUCUAUGCGCAGAUUUAAGCUGGCAGAGAUCUGCAUCUAACAAUUGUAAGAGGAUUUCAAUCACUUUUAUACAAGAAAAUCAACAUUUUGCAGCUCUACAGGUGCUGUUAAAUGCCCAUCCCUUAUAGCCUGCAAAUCCCUGGAGUUACCUUCCAAGUAAUUUCUCAUGAAAGCAACCAUGAUUCCUCCAACAAAUCUUCUCAUGGGGUCUCUGGACUCCCCAUUUUUGCACAAACAAUACGUGGCCUUGCCUCGAAGCCCUGAAGUGUCAUCAUCUAGCAUAUCAAGGUGGCCAUAAUCUCUGGCCACAAAGUAACACGCUGGUUUUUGACAUUCAUUGUAGAAGUCCUUGUGAUUCACUCCUUUAGGAGCCGAAGGAGGGAAAAGAAAAUUGCUUCUUAAUUCGCCCAAUCCUGAUCCAAUGAUUGAUACUGCCAUGUCAAGAUUAAAGGAAUGAGGAUUGUAGGUGAGAAUUGGUGGCAUUUGUUUCCCUUUCUCCACUCCAUCCACAGGAUCUAUGCCUAUUAAUGCUGAAAACUUCAGUGAAGUCACCGCUUUUCCUAGAGCUACCCCAAAAGCUACUUUUCCUCCGCGGCUAUGCCCUGCAAGUGCUAGCUUACUUAAGUUUGCCUGAACCUUGGGUGGUAGCAAAUUCUGUAGUCCCUCUGAUAACCAAUUGGCUAUUUCAGCUGUGGCAUUAAUUUCUUCUGUUGUAUCUGGUCCUGCCAUGCUGUAUAACUGAUGUAACGCAAUUGGAAUAUAUUUGUGAGCCAAGGGAUGAAAGAUCAACUUUCAAUUGUUAUAGAAAAAUGCAGUUUUUCAAUUGUUCUAUGAAAUGUUUCCCAAAAUUUUGCCUGAAAGAAACUCAAAGAUGGAACCAGCAGUAGGCUAAACCAAGCCCAGAUGAUAAUCACAUUCCGAUUGUAACAAUAAAGCUAUUGUUGUCCAUUCUCAUAUGUAGGUCAUUAAGGCUGACAAUCUUGGGUCCUCGAGGAAUCCCAAUAUCCAAAAUGUGGUAAAAAUGAUUUUGCAAUUGUGAUAAUCGUGCAUUAAAAGUCAACACAGAAAUAUAUGAAUGUGAUCAGUUGUUUCGUGUUGGGGGGGGGGGGGGGGGUUUGGAGGAGGAGGUGACAACUGACAAGUGAGAUGCAUUAGUUUGUGGUAUCAACUAUAGCACCAAAAAUUUCAGAGUAAAAGAUGUAGACCUGUGGAGCAAUGACGAUAAAGCCAUGAGAAGCUAUAUGUUGCACAAGCUGAGAAUAGAAAGAGUUGUAGAGAAGAUAGCCAUGAAUGAACAACAGCACUGGGAAAACUCCAGCUUCUGAUGGUAUGCCAAUUAAGAGUGGCUUUGGAGGACGAGCAAAGCCAAGUAAAGCAUUACCGAUGCUAGUCUGCUGUUCAACUUUUAGCAGCUUGGAUAUGUACUUUCCAACGCCAAAAACAUUCCUGGAGAUAGAGGAAACAACAGAUGAGGAUGCAGUGAAGACCAUGGCAAGUUCUUUGAGCUUCUUCUUUCUUCUCUCGAGAUUAUAAUUUCUUUUUGUCUGGAUUAAGUUCAGAACAAAAGCUACGACUGCAGCUCCUGAACCAACUUCACCUAUUGAUGAUAUUAGCCUGCUGAUUCGAGCUUUCAAAGGCGUAUGCUCAAUUGACUCACUGCUCAUUGAACUUAGCAUCUUUCCUCGAGUUGUAUUCAUCCCAACAGAUGUAACAAGCAUUCGAGCGCAUCCGACAGUCACCUUGGUGCCAGAAAACAGGAAGGGAUUCUGGUCAUGAUGCUGAAUUUCAUGAUCAUGAAAACUUCCAGUCGUAGUCAUGCUGGAUUCAUCAACACGUAAAGCUUGCCCUUCAAUGAGCAGUCCAUCAGCAGGUACUUGGUCCCCAAUCUUCAAGCAUAUAACAUCUCCAACAGCAACUUCUGAUGUUGAAAUAUGCUUCGGCUUGCCAUUUCUCAUGACUUCAACAGGACUACUGUCACUAACCAUGAAGUUCUCGCUGAAGUUUCUGUUUUUCCUGAAAUCAGUACUGGCCACGAUGGAUAGGACAACAAGAACAGCAGAAAAUAUGCUUCCACCAUCAUACAGCCCUUCCAUUAGUCCAUUGCUCUUAAUGUCAAAACCAAGAGCCAUCAUAGCAAAAGCCAGGAAAAUAUUGAGUUUCGAAUCAUCAAAAGCUUCCCAAACAAGAUGGAACAAAUUCUUUCCAGCAGCCUUGCUAUAUGUGUUAGUACCAAAGGCUUCAUGCCUACGUGAAAUACCUGCAUUGUCAUCACUAUCUAUUCCACGAUGCACAUCACUAUUAAGAGAAUUAGCAAUCCCAUGAACGCCUCCAAAUUUAUGGAGCUGAUCAAGGCUUCUCAUCUCAACAAUGUGCAUCAGGCUUGACUGAUCAAUAGUGAAGCAGGGCAGAUCCUGAACAAUGUCCAUAACGACUCUAUCGUCAGUUGCAACUGCUGAAUUUUCUUUCCAAUUUUUGGCUGUUGAUUGAGACGGAAUGAGACAAGUUAUGCUCUUAACGCUGGUAUGGACUCCUUUGAAGCCCCUUGAGCAGUGGACUGAUAGAAGACAAGAAUCCCGUAUCUUUAUAUUGUAUCCACCAAGAUUGGGUGGAAGAUGUACAGAAAAGAUUCUGCAGCCCAACUUCGCUCGAGUCAUUGCUGACAUUUUGUCAAAUCCCAGGAAGAUGAAGCAUAAUAUUUCACAAUUACCAAGUAAAUUGACUGUCACUUGACAAACAAAAUGGACUUUGAAUACACAGAAGAGAAAUUCAUCCAAAGAAUGGAACAAAAGCAAUAACAGCUGAGAGGAUCAUAGUAAGGUAAAGGACAAGAAUAGAUUUCAAAAUGUCAGCUGUUAAAUUUCUUGAAUUCAUUAAAAUUCCUCUUGAUGCUUCGAAAAGAACAAAAAAAAAAUCUAGGAGAAAAGUAUUUGCAAUUGGAGUUAUGAAAUGGAAUGAAUUUGGUUUUGAAUUGAAUCGGCAUGACUGACAUGUCAAUAUAUAGUGCUCACUCCCCUGCCACCUCUCCUCUGGCCGGCACUUAGAUAUUAUCCAUGCACUUUCUUGGGCAGAGCUGUAAUUGGUGGUGGAACCCAAUUUUUAUUCAUAUGUGGAAGAAUCAAGAUUCCGUGGAAGAGCUGAGAAUCAGAGGCUCCAUUAAUACUGAUAGGUUCCGGGAUUUUGUACCAUGAAUCAAAUCAGUCAAAGGUCGAAAGUGGAGAACACAACCAUCUCCAAUUAACACAAUUUGAUCAUGCCGGACAUAUUAGCUAAAAGCUUUACAAUGGAGAAUCGAAUGCUUACGUGCAUGAAAUUAUUACCAUUUUAUGCUCUUACAUUUUGAGAGUCUUCAAAUUUAUGCUACUGGGGUAUAUGCGGCACAGCCCUCGUCCAAAACACACCACCAUCUUUAAUGGUGUAUGACUUUUUAACACACACUUCCGUCAACCCUUGCCAAAAAAUACCUAAAAAAAUUUGUUCCUGUUAAUUUAUAACCAUAUUGGUGGACUUGGUCUAUUGUCUGUACUGGGUCACAUAAUUGUUUUGUUUCGCGAGCUGUGUUUGAGUAAACAAGUCUGGACCAUAUGACUAUCCUCCGAGACACUUUGAUGGGAAACAUUUAGUGGACUGACUAGUGCAUUUAGGAUAUGGAUUUACGCUGUAACAUCAUAUUUAAUGAAGUACUAGUAGUCUCAAAGAUAGCUUGCUUCCUUGAAUUGGUAAUUCUCUUCUCAUCCAAAAAGAAGAAACAACUUUUCUUUCUCUCUUUUUCUUAAGAAUAAGAGAGGUGGGAUUUAAGAAGCAGGAAGGGAAAAAAAGGGAGUUGAAUAGAAGAUCUUAAAUUCCUGGGGUAUCAACCCUAACUACUAGAUCAAGGUCUCUUCGAUCCAAAAAAGAGAAAAAAAUGAGAGAGAGAACUUGUAGGGUUUCUAUUAUGUUAUUAGUACUAGCUUUCACCCCAACUGGAUAAUCACAGGGGAGCCAUAAGCUGAUGUAUCUACUUCUUUUUUUCUUUUGCUUUUUCUACUUCAAAGGCACAAAAAAAAAGGCAUCUAUAUAUGCAAAAUCUUAAGUCUCAUAGUUCAAUAGAGAAGAUAAACCACGUCCACGAAGUUGAAGAAAAUGUUCAAGAAAACUCAGCAACAAAAGUAGAUUACAUUUUUUGUUCUUCAAAUUUCUUCUUGAACCUCAGUUUUCUGCAAGUACUGGUGCUAGUGUUCAAUCCAAAUUGGAACUUGUAAAUUAUUAGAGUCUUGACCCAAAAAGAACGGCAUGCGUAUUCAUCUGCUUAAAACCAUUCUUAAUGGCGUAACGACUUUUAUCAUUCUUAGGAAGGUAAUGGGUCGGAACAAGUUGAAAGAUGACCAAUGACCAGCGAGAAUAAACAGCUAAAUUUUGGGUAGGAAAAUAUUAGUCUUUCUUUUCUGCCCCUCAAGAAGAAGACUCAUAAAAUACGACCAAGCUAGUCCAACAGCACAAAGCUUAAGUAUGGAUCAUAUUAUAAAAUCAAUAGCGUUCCACUGCAUAAUUUUUUUUUUCUUUUUUCUGAAAACAAAAUCCUAAUAAGUUUAAUGUUUUCCACGUUUUGGAAACACAAAUAUCAGGAAGUCAUUCAUUUUCAAUAAAUUGAAAAAGCUAAAGUUACCAACCACGCGAGGAUUAAACUCCAUUAACACGAGUGCUGAUACAAGUCCAUAUCAACUAACACACAUGCGUUUUUGGAAAGAAAUAUUAACAGAUUAACGUUGAAUUUGAUGUUUGGCAUCUUCGACUUACUUCACGAGGUCUAUACUAAUACUCUUUCUGUCUCAUUUCGAUAGUCUUGAUUUUUUUUUUCACAUUAUUUCAAAAAAUUAUUUAACUUUAUUAAAAAAAUAGAUGUGACAUGCUAUUAUUCUAAAAUACUCUUAUGUUAAAACUGGUGUAUGACUAAUUAUUAUAACUUUACAUUAUUUACAACAAUAAUAUUGAUGGAAAGUUGUACCGUUCAAGUCAUGAAUCAAAAUAAUUAUUGAUGAAAAAUUUAAUCGUAUUAAAUAAGAUGGGUUAUGCUCCCUGGUAACAAAAUACAUUAAAUAAGGAUAUUUUAAAGAAAUUAUAAAUUAACUAUAUUUCUCGAUUGAAAAGUCAACUAUAAUUUAGAAGAUAUGAAAAAAAAAAUUAGACUGUUAAAGCGGGACGAGGAAAUAGUACUUUGUUCUCCACUAUCGAAAUAUCAUGCAGUACGUAUGGUUGAUCAAAGAUAGUCCCGAUACAGACAUCAUUGUUCUUUUAAUUAUUUUUAUCUGAUGUGCGAGAUAUAAUUAUAGCUAAUCUAAUCUAGUGGAAAAACUGACCAAUAAUAGCAGUUGGAAGACAUUAAAGGAUGGGGUGUCUUCUGGGAUCAGGUUAAUAAGCAAAAGUCUUGACCGUUUCGGUAAAAAAGACAAACGAUGGGGACACGCAGGGGAGUUAUACUGGGGUCUAGAGGAACUGCAUAGUCGGGCGGCUCUACUGGCUUGCCCCUGUGGGGUUUCCAUCCCACAUCGGUUCCUGGGGGGGUUUGGGUUUGGGUUUAUUAAUCCCUGGGAGCUCCUCAAGAGUUGCCGGCUUUUGAGGUGUCUUCUGGGAUCAGGUUAAUAAGCAAAAGUCUUGACCGUUUCGGUAAAAAAGAAGACAUUAAACAUGGGGCAAAAUGUACUUUCAGACGACUUCAAUGUUACCAAAUGCACUUUUAUGCCAGAGUCAAUUAAAUUGUUUGAACUUCAAAAUUUCAACAAUGCACUCAUGUUACUCCACUUCAAUUUUUUUCUUCAAAAAGUGCAGCCCCAUCUCAUUUUAAUGCGUUUGUACAGCUAUGAAAACGAUAAUAGGUUUUAUUUAUAUUGCCUGAGGCUUUUGAAUUCUCAUCUAUUCUGUCCAUAGUAAUGAUGCCAUUCGCAAACAAGCCUCUUAACAUGAGAAAUGGUUGAUGAGUCCUUGGUAUGGUGAAUAAAACCUCAAGAUUUUUAGACGUUCUAAGUUCAAAUCCCUCAUUUUUCUCCCUCUCAAUUUCUUAAAUUCCACCCUUUUCUCCAUUACAAAAAAAAAAUAGAGUUAAAACAGAAAACCAUGAGAAAUGAAGUACUGAUAUGAGUCAAAUUAAAGGGCAAAAAGUACCUUGAAACUGUGUAUUUUCCAGUACAAAUGGAUAGAAUAGAGCAGUCACGUUGAAAGGGAAAAAAAGUGCAUUGAAACUAGGCGUCUUUUCCAUUACCCAUGGAUAUUAUAUUACAAGACAGUCUACGUGACAAGCAAUAUCUAGAAUCUGUCCCAUUUUUUGGAAUUGCAUGGCUUCUUGUUUUCUUAGUGAUUUCUUUCAGUCUUCACCCCACUUACGACGGUUAUCGAUCGUCCAAGAUUACGGCAGAUUUCUCAAAGGAAACUCGAGGGAUCAAAGUCAAGUCACAUGCACAGUGCAAAUUCUUUCUUCUUCUUCUUCCUUUUUUUUUUUUUUUUUUGGUUUGCAGUAUUUCCUGGUCCAACAAUUAAUGUUAUUGGUGGUUGUAUACUGGCUAUAUACACUAGCAUACAAACAUGACUUGCAUUCGCACUAUGCUGCAUUUUUUUUUUUAUGGAUAGAAUAGAAGAGUGGAAGAAAAUAAAUGUGAAGAAAAAAAAAAAAGAAUCCAGUCAAUGGUAUUGAAAGUGCUUUGGAAAGUAUGUAGUAAUCAAAGACCAUUUCCAUUAAGAGCACAAAAGUAUAGAAUGUGCUUUUGACCAAUAAUGGUGUUGCAUGUAACACAUUUUCACUUAGAAGGUCCAUUUUCUUAUUCUUCUCUAAUUUUUUUUUUAAAUAAAUUUUUCCAUCUCUCCAACUGCAUUAUUUCCCAAGUACACGUUAUUGAGGAUGUAUGUUGGACGUUGGACGAUGGCAUUAAAUUGGUAGUGAAAGAUGUAGGGUAUGCUUGUGUUCAUUUGUCCAAUUUUCCUUCUUCUUUCUUCUGUACUUUUUUUCUAUUUUCUCACGACGAAACACUUUCUUGGUCAAAAUAGUGUGGUUACUAUAAAGACUGAAGAGGAGGGUAGAAGGGAAUGUGGUUGUUUGUGAUUUAUUUCUCCAUUUUGUUUUCCCUCCUUCCCCACGAAUUAAAGUGGCAAUCGUCAUGGCAAUUACCUAAUUUUUUUCAAAAAAAAAAAUAAGUGAUAAUUGUUCUGAUAUUUUCCAGUUCAGUGGCUGAUGGGUCCAGUAGAUUAACUCUACAGGCCGCUUCGAGGAAACCAUACAUUGGUUAUCUGAGGGAUGUGGAGAAGCUCAGUAGCCCAAUUAAUUGUUGGAAGCUAGGGCCCAACAAAAUGGUCAGCCAUCAGAGGGGCUUGGGGGGGAGCAAAUUAGUCAAUAGUAUGUAGCAAGACCAGCCUCUGUUACCGUGUUUGGCAAAAAAAAAAAAAAAAAAAAGUAAUAAGACCAGCCCCGCGAGUAGUCCGACUGGUUGCCUCGCUGUGUAUCCUUGAGGUAAGGCUCUAUACAUUUUUAGAAAAUUAGUCUGCACACCAGAACUAGGGGAUUAUAUUAUUGAGCACCCGUUAAGAGUGUUUAUUUUUUGCGAGAGGGUAGUCAAUUUGGGAAACUAUCUAAAUAUAGAGAUGGAAUAGAUGUGAAUUUAGGUAUAAUUUAGAUGUGUUGACGAGUGUUUAUUAGUCAUUCAUUAUGACAAAAAAAUUUCUAUAUUGUUUAAAGUGUUGGUUAACGAGUGCUCUUAAUGAGAGGUUUCAAGUGUUAAUUUUUUACAAAAGUAAAAUUGAUUUGAGAAAAUAUUGAAAUACAAAUGGACCAGUAAAUGUAAGUAUGUGUAUUCCCAUUAUAAAUUAAGUGUAAUUUAGAUAUAGUAUAAGUAACCGGAGGAAUUCAAGGACGUCAAUAUAUUCGAGUGCUUCAAGCAAUAUUCUCUCAUCAUAUCCACUAUCACCAAAAAUAUAUAUAUAUAUAUAUAUAAUAAGGAUCUGAUCUGUGUCAACUAAAAGAAAAGCUUUAACAAACUUCUCCAUAAUCAAGAUGAAUGGGAUUUGCUAUGAUGAUUUAGAGAGCUGAUUUAUAAUAAAGCAUGGUAGAGUGGAUUCUCGCCAACAACUUUACUACAACUCUAAUUGAUCAAAAGAAUUAAGAGGGUCCAUCUAUUUAACUUUCAAGUUUAGAAUGUGCAUAAAGAAAGAGGGCUCUGAUUAAUGAAAAUGCAAAGCUAAUGAUGAGAUUAGCACUGAGAGUAUAUGCAUUAGUAGCAAUCUUAAUUGCAGUUAGCCUUUAACACCAAGAGAUGCAAAAAUUGAGACCCACCAUAUCACAAUCCCCCUAUUGGAAUCAUAAUUCCCCAUUCACGAGGCAGGGCCAUGGAUCAAUACCAAAUAUAUUUUGUGAGACCAAAUAGUUCUCGAGCCAAAUUCCACCCUUGCAUAAUUUCUGGUCCAAUCAUGUAUUAAUUCAAUUCAUAGUAUGUGAGUUACACAUGUGAAUAUAGGGCGGCAUCAAGCUUCCUAUUUCUUUUCCUUGAUGGAGUUUGAAGUCCUGGAAAGUUUGCAUAAAAUAAGAAAAAUAUGUGCAUUGUAGAGUAAAUUAGUUCUACAAGAAAGGUAGAAGUGGAUCUAAGACGUUCCUUUUACAGUUUUUCUUUCUUUGUGCUCGCAAGCUAAGAUAUGUUCCUAAAAAACACAACAGCAAGCCGCAUAAUGCACCUUUUGCUAGGUUUCUUGUUUUAAAUAGCACCAAGCUGCUAAACUAUCAGUAUGUUGGCCUGGAAAAAGUGGUGCCAUUCUGGCAAUGGAUAUUCCUCCCAACCAAGAGAUUUAGACAUAGCAAUAAACUAUGUAAAGGCAGAAAAACAUAAAGGCUAAAGAAAGAAACCUGUCCAACAGCAAAGUGAUCUUUAGUUAAACUACAAUUUUCUCAUCAAGCCACGAACAAGAAAACAGGAACAGCAAUGCAGGUUGUACUAGGCACUUUUAUGUGGUUCAUCUGAUUCCUGAUUAAUCAAAGAAACAAGUCUUGAGCUUAAAGUAAUGCAAGUGAAGUGGCCGUGCCAAUUUAGUAUUCACACAUUGGACGUCUCAGUAAGAGUUCAAAAAUGUGUUGUUCUCCAAAGCUUCUAGCGAUUAGCAUGUGCAGUUCAUCAUGAUCAUCAUCAUAAUGAUGGUAUGGUUUUAUUCAACUUUGUGAUUUGGAAUCGUUAUGAUUAAUGAACCAGCGUUGGAAAGACUUGCUACCAAAAUGCAUAAUUGGCUAUCAAGUGCCUAUUUGAGAGUACUGUUCUAUUGCAGGAAUCAAGCAGUUGAACAUGAAAAGAGAGAUGGGGAACCAAAAUGCAUCAGGAAUAAAAGGCAUGUUUGUAUCAGAUGCUCAAGUCUGUAGUUUCUUAUGUUUGAACUUAUAUGUGUAGUUGAUGACCAUGUCUAAUUUAUAUCUAUCUGCUGUAGAAGAGGAGAAAGCAACAGUUAAAGUUCCGCAAGAACCCCAGGAAGCAGCUCGCGAAGACGAAAUGAAAGGAGAAAACCACAUAAUUCCUGAAGUUGACACUAAGGAUUUCCAGGAGAAAACAGAAUCUUCUGAUGAUUUCUCGGUUACUACAGAUUCUAAUGCUGAACGGCAUGAGUCAGAUGAAAAAGGUUAAUGCUUCCCCUUAUAACUCUAAACAUAUAAUUUUUAUCUAGUACUUAUGCUUCCCGGAUUCAACUACAGUAAGUUGAAAACAUGUAGUUUUCAUGUUAGAGCAAGGAAACAAAAAGUCUGAUCAGCCUCCUCCUCCAUAUCCUGAAGCUGCAAAAGAAUCAGAUCAUUUAGUCAGUCAGGAGAAUUAUGUCGAUGAAGCUGAUUCAGCCUAUGAGGCAAACCAUGAGAAACCACUAGAGUCGAACCUGGGCGAGAUUACGCCCAUAAAUGGCAAGAUUGAGAGUCAUGAAAACGGCAUCAUUCCAAGAGGUCAGUUCCUAAUACUUCUCUUAUAAGAAGGCACAUCAUUUAUGAAGUUAGAUUACGAUCUCAUCAAGAUCACCUUGUGUAGUAUUAUUAACAGCUUAAUAUACAAAUAUAGAAGAGUUUCAGGGAGACGAGAUAUUUUCCAUCUUAAAAUUUUUUCUUCAUUUGCAUGCCAGAAACCGAUGCACAGAAGGUUGAGAUCACUAACUCAAAUUCCAACAUAGAGAGCACUUUUCAAGAUUCAAAAACUGUUAAUGAUACCACCACACCGCUAGAAGAGCAUCAGAGUUCAUCAUCCCAUCAGAUUGAGGAAGUCAUAAAACUGAGUGUCACAUGUCACGUAGAGGAGAAAAAACAUGAUUGCAGUGAGAUCCAUAGGGAAGGAAAUAGGGACGAUUUGAUGCUAGAGGAGUCUCCUGAUGUAGAAGAUAAAUCAUUGGAAAUGAACAUUUGCAUAGAAGAAAGUGUCAGCAAGGCUAUAGAGGAAAAUGUUCAGCAUGGUCAUAGAAAUAAUGGUGAUAUUCAACUACCCCUGAAAGAUAAUUUGAACGACGUUUUAAGUUCACCAACUGAAACAGUUCCAGAAGUCAGUCGAAUAGGUCCUUCAUCUGAAACUCCUGAUCCAAAAAAGAAGCAUAUUGUCCUUGCUGAAGAGAUCAAUUUGACCAGUGAUGGAUCAGAAAAUCCAGAGAAAGAGCCUGACUCUGGUCGUGCUCAUUUUUCUGAUCAGAUGGCCUUGAUGGAUGAUGCCACUCCAGGAAUGAUUGAGCAAGAAGCUUGUAGCAAGGAGAAUGGAGAGGAAAAUACGGUUAAAAUGAGUUCUAGCCCUGAUUUGGACAUGGUUAAUCAGAAUAAGGGGACCAAAGUGAUUUAUACUGCUGCAGAACAAGAACCAGAAGAAUGCAGGGAUAAAAAGGUGGUCCUUGUGGUGCCUAAAACGAUUUCAGUGUCAAAUGGAUUGAGGUCUAUGGAUAAGUAUGAUGAAGGAGAGAAGGUAACAGAGAAUCUGUUAGUUGAAGAAACAGAAAAAAGAAACGAUGACUCGACUUCAACAGGAAAUGGCAGACAUAAUGCAGGGGCAGCAGAGGAGUCUUUGUCCAGCUUCGAGUCAUCUGAAGGGGAAAACAUUCCAGUUUCUCUAACGUCAACAUUCAACUUGGAAAAUGAUCUGCCUGCAGAUUCUCCCACUUCAUCAUUUAAUCAACAAUGGGACAAUGGAUUAUGCUCCAAGGCUGCAGAAGAUUGGAACAAAUGCACUGUCAACUUGAAACAAUGCAGCAGCUUUGAUGUCUUUAUUGCUGAAGUAUCUACUUCCAAUGCACAAAAAGCAUCCAUCCAAGCUCUUAAUCCCAGCAGUGCACUAGAAAAGGUAAACCAUGUCCAAGAACUUGAACAGAAUGUUCAAGCAAACUCAGUGACAGAAGGAGAUUACAAGCAACACUUGAUAAGCGAAACAUCUUCACUGCCAAGUUCAAAAGCACAAGAAAAUGCAGCAAGGGUAAGCAUUGAAUCAAAUCCAGAUCAUCCAGUUGCCCGAGUUAAGCAGAGAAAGUCCCCCAGCUUUGAAUUUGGCAUCCCAAUUGAUGCAAGAUCCGAAGAAUCUGAUCAAACUCCUCUACUGGUUCGCGACAAGUCUCUAGCCAGAAGCUUCUCAGGCCAUGCUAACGUAAGAUUCCAAAAUUCAAUGGUCCCAACUGAUUAUGGUCGAAAGUCAUUAGACUAUGAGCCAGUAGCAGUGGAAGAAAAGACCAUUAGAAUGGAAAGAAGCGAUUCAGACAUCUCGAGAGAUUUAUUCACCAGCUUAUUGAGGAAGGAUGAAAAGCCAACUGUUGAGCUUGCACCAGAGAAAAAAGAGAGCCAUAUUGCUGAUGACAAGGCAUUGGAAUCGCCAUCAUCUGAGGAACUUGCAUUGACUUCAAUCAAAACAAGUGGAAAACGCAGGCCAAGAUCUUCCCUUUUGAGUGCCUGCAUAUGCUGUACAGCAGCUAACAACUGAGGGCCAAGAAGAAACAUGCAUUUCCCUUCUACAUUUCUAUUUUUCAUGGUUGUUAUCUUGUUUAAUCUUAUCAUUUUUCCUUUUUUCAUUUAAUUUUUUUGCAAAACACUGUGAUAUUGAUUCCAUAGAUUGUUUUGUACCAUUUAAAAGAUGAUUUUGAGAGAUUGAAAGAAGUGAGAAAGGAAUAUGUCUUUGAGGAAGAAAGAGCGAAAUUGUGGAAAAAAGAAAAAUUGAAAGAAGUUCUUAGUGCCAUGGCUAUCAAUCUUCGUUUUGUUCUUUUUUUUUUGGGUAAAUUACAUUUUACCCCCCUGUGGUUUACCCUUUUUUUACAUAACCCCCUUGUGGUUUCAAAAGCUAUACAUAACCCCCUCAUGGUUUGGAUUAAAGUGUCAAAGUAAUGGAAAUAAUCACUCGUAACGGAAUUUCUAAAAAUGUCGAAAUUACCCUUAUAAAUACAUGACACAUUAACCCCGUAUGAUUUUUAUAUUUUACCAUAUAACCCCCUUAUGGUUUAAUAUUUUACCAUAUAACCCCCUUAUGAUUUUCAAAAUAUACACAUAACCCCCCUUGGUUAAUACAUAAAUUUCAACCCUGCAUAAGGGUAUUUUUGACAUUUUAGGUGACGCCGUUACGAGUAACUAUUUCCGUUACUUUGACACUUUAAUCCAAACCAUAAGGGGGUUAUGUAUAGCUUUUGAAAUCAUAGGGGGGUUAUGUGAAAAAAUGCUAAACCACAAGGGGGUAAAGUGAAAUUUGCCCUUUUUUUUUAUAUAGCUUUUGAAUAAAUUUAUUAUUCGUGUUGAUUGUAGUUCUGGAUUCCGAUUUCACAUGUAAACUUCAAGAAUCUGAGGAUAAGAGUACUAUUAUUGUUUGGAUUUGUUGCCAUUGCUUUUUCAGAUCGUGAAUUCUAUUUGCUCCUUUGGAGAUAAUCGCUUUUUUCGUGUCAAAAGCCUCAACCUCCAAAUGUAAACUGUUCACGCCUAUGAAGAACUGGCUAGUGCUGGAUUUUGGCGAAGGUGGUGCAGCAGCCCCUAAAUUAUGAAAAAAUAUAUCAUGUCUAUUUUAGAUCCUUUAGAAACUGCAGAAAAUUAUUACUUCCUCAUGUACAACUCACCCCCACACCCAAAAAAAAAAAAAACUUCAAAACAAAUCAUUUUUAGUAUUAAAAACUAUACCUUAUACAAUCAACGAUUGGCCUAUAAUUUUUGUUUUGCGUCCUAACUUUAGGGCUUUUUCUCGGUUGAUUAUUUUAAUUGAUUAUAGAUUUUGAUUUUCGAUAAUCAGUUUUGUGAUAUUCUCAGUUACUUUUGUAUUCUGAUUAUAGAUUUUUUAAUGAUAAAAAAAUAAAAUCUAUAAUCAAUUUCUGUAAUCAGAUUUUGUAAAAUCUAAAACAAUCGAGAACAAAGUCUUAAUUACUUUCUACUUCAUUCUGUGUCUAAAAAGACAUAGAGAUGAGCAGACAUAAAUGGUGCAAAACAAGAAUUUCUAGUAAUUUUGUUUUGAUUCAAAUUGCAUGAAAGCUUCCUUCUAUUUUUGACAAAAAUGGUUUCGAUCAUGCAAUUGUGCAAUAAUUUCCUUGGUAAUUUGUCCUUCACAAACCAUAAUAAAAGUUCUUCUUGGAUGAGUAUAUGAUGUGUACUAGCAUAGUUGAGCAAUACACAAGAGAUAAUACAAAAUUUUUGUUUUUAGGUGGGAUUUUCUCCAUAAAAUGUUUGGCAAUUGGGUGGGGACUGGGGAACACGACACCGACUCCUGUAACUCAACGAUGAUCAGUUUGCUUACGUAAAACCCACGCUAGAGUCGGUGAUCACCUACCUUGUGAUUUGUGGACUGAUUCAGCAUUUUGAAUAUCUUUUGCCCCUCAAAUGCAAUAUUAAUUUAUGACCUUGAAAUAUUGACAGGGAAAUUCUGGUUCCCCCAGGUCAUCGCUUAACUGUGUCUGAUGAAGACUCCUUAAUUUAGCUAUUUAAUCCUUUUAAAAAUACAAUAUUCUAGAAGCAUGAUCAAAUUAAAGUCUAGGUAAUUGUAAUUGACCAAAUUUAAGGCACAGAGUGGUUUUUUUUUUUUCAUUUUCUUUUCUUUCUUUUAACUGCUACUGUAAUAUAUGGUAUGUGGGAAUUGAAUUAUUAAAAUUUUUUCCCUACUUACGCCCUUAAUGGCUUGAGUUGAUGCUUUGACCUCUCAGUUAAGAACCUAUAGACUAUGUUUGGUAAUUAAAAUUAUUGCUGCCACAUUUUGCACUUCUCAAAUAGAGAUGUCUCCUUUGUACUUUUGGGUACUAAUAUUUUUUUCCCCUUUCUUCCCUGGCAAUCGAUGAAAUACCUUACAAUCUUUGGCCAUGACACACUUACUAACUUAGAGCUAAUUUAGGGAGUUAUAUCUGAUUAUUGAUUCCAUUGUUUUUUUAAAACUUAGAUGGCCAAUAGCCAAUCAUAAAAGCUUCAGACGUCUAGAUAAAUCUUAUCAUCCAACUACUUUGAUCAUUUCUUUUAGGAUUAAUCUUUCUUACACCGACAAUCUAUAUACACUAUCACCGUUGAAUUCGAGAUAGUGAAAUUCAAUUUCUACACAUAUGUCAUGAAUUCAACAGUGAUAACGUAUACACUGUCGGUGUAUAUAAGAUUUACUCUUUUUUUAUUAAAAAAAAGUACAGAUGAAUUCAACUCCGAUCACCAUUAUGAAAGAGGGCAUUACUUCGAUCAUUGCUUUGCUUGUUCUCUAGUAAGUGAGGCAACAAAAUUUCAUUUGCAUUUUAAUCUGGAAAAGACCUUCGAGUAGUAGGUCCAACCCAUAUUAGGCUUCACUUGAGAAGUUAAAUAAACUAUAAACGACUAAGAAAUGAGGCAGUUACAUAUGCAGCUUUUGGAUAGGGAAGAAUAGGGGUUAGAUUCUCAGUCAAUGCCUCCAGAAGAGGUCAACUGAAAUUUCAAAGCAACAAACCUUCAACAACCAGUAUUUGGUGAUGAAAAUAACAGGUAUGACUAAAUUAAAGUUGACCUAUAAGAAAGCAAAGAAUUAAAGGGCAAUAAGCACGCAAAGAAUACGUAUAAUUUUUUCAAAGAGUUUGCGGUGUAAGAGAAAUUUUUAUUCUUCAGCUCUAAUUAUUACACAAUGAUAUAGUUUAUGAAACAAAAGUAUUCCCUCCGUCACAUUGUUAAUGUCAUAUUUGCACUUUAUUGAUAUUUCAAAAUAAGAGUCACCAUUUCAAAUUUAACACAUACUUUUUAAUCUUGCCAUUUGAAAAAACAACUUUUUAAAAUCUCAAUGCACAUUAAACAAGAAAAUAUUUUGAAUCUAAAGGAUAUAUAUAUAUAUAUAUAUAUAUAUAUAUAUAUAUAUAUGUGUGUGUGUAAAUUCAUCAAUAUCGCCUCAUCUAAACAUAAUGAUUACUAUAUCUUCAUAAAAAAUUAGAUUCCUAAAAAAAACGACUCUAAUAUUGGGAUGGAAGGAGUAUAUACUAAUCAUGAAUGAUAAAACAAAAAAGGUUAUUCUUGUUUUUAUUGUUAAAUUCGUGAUUUAAGCUCCUUUAUUUCCCUGUCAGUAUUGGAUAGUAUCAUCCAAGUCUUCAAUGACCAAGAACAAAAACGCGUAUGACUGUACUACUACACAUCGGUCCAUGAACUGCAAAAUGUUUGGGAGUCGAGGGAGAAAACCAACAAUUAAUACAGUGAUACUUUUCUUCUUAAUAGUUAAGGAGCCUAAAUCUACCACAAAAUAGUCAACUUUGUUGGGGUUAGUAGUGAACCAUACAAGAAAUUGCAAUAUGAAUUUACGACAAUGGUAGUGGUUCCAAAAAUAAGAGAUGACUUGUUAUAUUUUCCAUUUCAUUUUUGAUAUAUAGCAGAGUUGUGUUUGGAUUGCAUUUUCCAUCAUUUUUCAUGGAAAAAUUACUGUAACGAUUUGAUGUAUGUGAGGGAAAAAGGUAAUAGGAAAAUGGGAUCACGGAAAACUACGUAAUUUUCCGACGGAAAACAGCAAUCCAAACAAGGCCGAUCAUCAAGAAAAUAGUCAAUAAAAUCGAUGUUUUGUCUUUAAUUCAAAUGAAUUACUACUAAUUCAGAAGCAAGUUAUGGUGUAAUGGAACCAUUAGGGUCCGUCCACUGAUCAAACAAGGGUUCUUAGAGUUCUUUCCACUAUCAGAGUUAGGGUUUGAGUGCUAGUUGAAGGUUGAAAGAGCAUGAAAAGGAGUUGGAGAAUAAAAAAAAAUUAUGAUGUAAUGGAACGAAAUGUGUCUUUUUUUUUUUUUCAAGUUUUGACUGUGAUAUAAGACUACCUGGAAUAGUAGUAUUUGAGCAUUGGAGCCUGAAUUGAAAGGAGAAAACUCGUGAAGAAUUGGCUUGGAUCACAAAUGAAAGAAUACAAUAAAUACUUUUUUGUUUCCUUCAAGAAGAUGAAAGAAUCCAAUACAUAGUUAAUUAAAUUGGAUUACAAUCACCCUAUACUAAGUUAACAAUUGACCAAACCAUUGAAAGAAAUAGAUUUUAAGAAUACAAAUUAGUAAAAGAGAUUAAUCUGAAUGGAUCACAAUCAAUGAAAAUCAAGUCCUAGCAAUUAUCCAACGGUCGUCAUCAUCUUAACAAAUUCAUCAUAAUUGACUUGACCAUCACCAUCCAAAUCAGCCUCUCUGAUCAUCUGCUCCACCUCUUCAUCAGUCAGUUUCUCCCCUAGAUUGAUCAUCACGUGCCUCAGCUGCAUGGGAUCAAAGAGUUUUCUUUUUUGUUAUUGCUUUCCUUCAGACUCCACAAUAAUCACUAAACUAUUGGGCAUGAAAAAGAAAGUCAAAAAGGUGUAUUCCUUCUUGGGUGAAGUUCAUUGCAUAAGACAUUUCUUGGUAUAUAUUAAUAUAACUGAGAUGCCCCAGUAAGCUAGAUGAAACAACUGUAAAACCAUGCUAAUUUAUUAACUAAUUUGAAACUUUGAAGCAUUGACAGAUCAAUUUCCAUGUGAACUACUCGCUGUACCAUUUUAGCGCUCGCAUGGAACCACAUUCGUUUUAUACACAGCAAGAAUGAUUCGGAAGUUUCAAAAAAAAAAAAAAAAAAAGAAUGAUUCAAAAAGGGAACAUUUCCCAACAAAUUUUUACGUUUUUUGUGAGUAUAUUAUCCUAUCACCUUUUUAUCUCAUAUACAUUGAAUUGUUACAUUAUUUUUUUUUCUAUAGAAACUUCAAAAACUAAUAAAUGUCCAAACGGGUUCUUUAAGGCAGUAUGCCAGACUUUUCUAUCUUUUGGAAAGUCACCAUAUUUUGAUUUACUUGACCAUUCAUACUAGCCACGACUUAUUUACUUUGUCUUUUCAACAUUUGAAGUGAAACAGUUAUCAUGGCCUGCAACACUCCUAAAAGUAUUCCUGCCUGAUCAAGAACAGAGCAAAGUACCAAAACUCAUUAUAUGUAUAUUCAUGGUUGUGUAAAUUCCUCCCCCCCCCCCCCCCAAACAAACCACCAAAAAAAGAACUUGAUAAAAGAAUGCACCAAAUAAGGGUUUACAUGUCAGUUCGAUUCAAAAGGAGUGUGAAACAACGUUUUUUAUUUAUUUAUUUAUGUUACUUUCUGCAAUUUCAAGACAAAAGCAAUUGGUAUGGGGACUAUCGGCCAGCUCUUACCUCACUGGCUGAAAUGUAACCAUUUUGGUCUUUGUCAAACACUUUAAAAGCCUCUUUAAGCUCCUCCUCUGCAUCGGUUUCCUGUUUCAGCACCCAGAAAAAAAAAUGAUAAGAAUACCAUCGUGAGUGAUCAUACAUCAUUGUUAUUAGUAUAUUUACUAUUGUGAUCAUGUUAUGUGUGUAUAUAGUAUAUAUGGACAUCAACUUUUGUACCUUAAUCUUUUUGGCCAUGAGGUUCAAGAAUUCCGCAAACUCAAUGGUUCCAUUUCCAUCAGCAUCAACUUCACUAAUCAUGUCCUGCAGUUCUUCCUCACUUGGAUUUUGAUCCAGUGACCUUAUCACAGUGGCCAAUUCUUCAAUGGUGAUGCAACCUGUUGUGAUAUUAGUCAUCAAAAUCACAUCGUCAGUACAAAAUGAUCAAUUCCUUUUGUCAUUCAUUUGCUAUACAAAAAUGUUCCCGACCAGACGUGCCCUCGUGCAGAUACCCAUAUAGUAUGCCGUAUGUUUUUCGCAGAAGAGUGUUAUAAUGAGAUUGAGCAAAAGACGAAAUGAGAAAGAUGAAGAUAUAUAUAUAUAUAUAUAUAUUGUUGUAUUUAAAGAAAGAAUGGAGUAAAACGAACCAUCUCCAUCCUUAUCAAACAGACUAAAGGCUUCCUUGAACUCGACAAUCUGUUCUUGAUUGAGUACUUCUCCCAUGGUUCUCCUCCUAUUGUUUGAGUUUGGAACUUGAAAAAGCGUGUGUGAAAGAGAAGAGGUCAGGUCUACCAAACCAAAAAAAGGGAGAAAGAGAGAAGGCAAUGACUAAAGAGACAAAUUGUGAAACGAGAGAGAGAGAGCGAGAGAGAGAGAGAGGGGGCGAGAUGAGCAUAGCUCAAGCUUAGCUGGGGUUUAUGUAGGAAGAAUUCUAAUGUGACAACGCACCACUACAAUAUCCUUGCAUUGAAAUUUGCCAGAAAAUUCAAAAGUGAAAUAGUAGUAUAUUAAACAAGUAGUAGUAGUGAUAAUUAGUCAAACAUCACAGUAAUUAGACAAAUGUAAACUAGCUUUUCCCUGAGUAUUGUGUUUGGAUUGCCGAAUUAUCUCAAAUGAUAUUUCACUUGCAUCAUAAACAUAUUUUCUAAUUCAUCUUUUUAUAUUCUCAACUACUUUUUAUUUCAUAUAAAUCAUAUUAUAAAAAGUGUUAUAGUAAUUAUUUCAAAUAAUACUACUCUAUCAAAACACACUUGUUUGUGACGGGAUGGGUAAUGUAUGCGAGUAGAGGAAGGGCUAGGACUCGAUGAAAAAGACUUUCGAUAGCUGGAAAGUAAAUGAUGUCAAUCAAUUCAAAAAGUUCUUUCCACACCAAAGAACAGACUACGGUUCAAAAUGAGAAUAUGACUUUGAAUAAUUUGGUGCUAUAUUCCUGGAUGAGAUUUUGUCUCGGAAACCCAUUUGACAAAUAAGUUUUUUUUUUUUUAUGUUUAUCUAAAAUUUUAGUAUAAUUUAUUAUAAAAUUUGUAAAAACAAUUUUUUGAGGCUAGUAAAAACUUUUCUUUAAGAAAAAAAAACUUUCCUUGUUUCCUUUUGUUUUUACUUUUUUCUUUCUUUUUCUUUUUCCCUUUCUUUCCUCUUCUCUUCUUCUCCCCCCAUUGGCCAACCAUCGUCACCAACACCUCCACAGGCAAUCAGCGCCCGCGAUCCUUUUUUCUGUUUCUCUCUCUCUCUCUCUGUCCAAAUCUGAUCGUGACGGCGGAGAUGGUGGUGGAUUGAGGAGGGGGGAAGGAAUAAGAAUAAAGGAAGGAAGGUAAUUUGUUUGUGUCUUUUUUAGUAUUUUAAAGUGUAUUUUUGAAAUUUUUAAGAAAUUUUUUUAGAUUACUAUAAUUAAGUUGUUUAAAAAUUUGUAGAAAAAAUUUGAUAAAAAAAACUCCUUUGCCAAACCGGCCCACAAAUACCCAAACAAAAAAAAAAAGAAAAAAAUCUGGUUAUGAAAAGAAUUAUUAAAAAAACUUUUCUUGAACAUUUUCUAACAAUUUUUUUUAUUUUAAUUCAUAUAUAUACAUCACAUCACAAAAUUAUUACAGUAAACUAAUUAUAUAUAUAUAUAUAUUCCAAACUACAUGUAACAAAAUAAUUAAUCAGCUUGACUGACCCUGGUUGACCCUUCAAAUCUUAGACGAUUUGGUUCGAUGUAAUGUAUCUGUUCACAUUGUGUACUAAUUCCAUGUAUGGAUAAAAUUCGUAUAUUAGGUUAAUCUUGUGAGAAAUGGGAAUUUUGCAUAAGAUAAUUUUGGCCAGCUGUUUUGGUUCAAUACUGAGGGGACAAAGAGCAUUCAAAGAGAAGACCAGUGAGCGUAUGGCCGUAUUGGGAGGUGUGGGCUCUGCACUGUGCUUAGCAUUGAAAAAUUUUCACCCACAGGUCGAGCUGCAUUACUUUCACCAGGCUUACACUACUGAUUCAACACAAUUUUUACACCUGAUUUUAUUUGAUUAAUUUUGAGCCACUAACCUAUGGUGCAAUCUUUAUGGGGAUUUUCUUUUAUUUCUUAUUUUUUUGAACAUAUAUAUAUAUAGCAGAUCUGUGUUUAUCAUAAUUUUGUUAGGAAAGAAACAAAGAAAUAGAAAACACACCAUUUCAACGUUACUUAGUGAUACCCUUUUCACUCCCCACCAUAACCAAAAAGAGGGGAAAAAAAAAAAACUACGUUACUUCUUGUUCCAUAUGAGUAAGGGGGUGUUUGGUAAACGACUAUGAGAAGCAGGAACGGCUAAUGAUAUCAGGUUUGUUUGGAUAGAGUAUUAUUUGAACUAAUUACUGUAGCAGUUUUUGUGACGUGAUGUAUAUGAAAUAAAAAGGUGAUUGAAAGUAUAAAAAGGUGAGUUGGAAAUUGUAUUUAUGAUACAAACAAAAUAUUAUUUGAGAUUAAUUCACUAUCCAAACAAACUAAAUUGUUUAAAAUCACUAUAUAUAUUAUUGUUUGGUAGAUGAUUACGAUAUUUAAUAGGAAUAGAAGUGUAGAUCAUGUACUAUAUCAUUUUCCGUUUAUGAGUUGGGUUUUAAAUUGAUCUAACUUUUUAAUAGAAUGAAAUCCACACCACUUCCAAACCAAAUAUGUGGGACCUGUUUGACGCUAAGGUGGCUUAUUAAAAGCCACUUAAUUAAUAGAGUUUUUGAUCAAAGUACUUGUUAAGCGCUUAAUCACAUUAUUGUUCGGAUACAUACUUAUAUAAGUACUUCUUCUAUUUGAUAACGUGUAAUUUUGAAUUCUAAUACAUAUUUAUCUCUUCAUUCAGUUCGAACACUUGUAAUACAAUUAUUAAAGUUAUUUUUAUUAUUUAGAAUAGAAAAGUUGUUUUGAAAGUACCAAAUUUGAACUUAUACUAAAAGAACUUUACUGGGCAAAAACUUUACUGCUCAUUUCAAGAAAUGAGAUGUUCACCAAACGCGUUAAAAAUAUUCUUAUUUUAUAAAAGCACCUUUUUUUUUUUAAGUAAAAGCACCGCGAUUUCAAAUAGGACCUAAGAAAGUUAUUUGGUGCUUACAAUUAAUUUAUUAGUAAUUGUGUACAACUUCGAGCGCUGCGCUCUAACCACUUAUGUUACUAUUGCCAAUAAUACCUUAGGAUUUGUAUAUCAAAAUAAUAAAAUAAUAAUAAUACCUUAGGAUUUGUAACAUAAAUCGAUGAAUAAUUUAAUCGGAUGACAUAAAUGUUGCAUGGCUGGCAACGCGGUUUUACUUGCCAUUGGCUCACCUGCCGAGGUGCAUUUCCUUUUCCAAUCUUUAUUUCCAGAAAUCUGAUUUUUGGCUAGAACAUUUAUUUUCAAUAAACCCCCUGAUUUAAGGUAAUUUCACAAAAAGACCAGUCACAGAAUCCAGUCCUAGAUUUAAAAAAUAAUAAAUAGAUUAAUGUGUUCGAAAUACAAAAAUAUUUCAUGUAUCUAUCUACUUGCAGAUGUAUAAACAGACAUGCAUCAAAGAAUAACAUGGCAUGGUACAGUACGAACUGCUUUUUUUGUCAAAACACGAAGGGUCUGUUUGAUUACAUAAAAAAGUGCUGAAUCUGAAUUUUUUCAGACAUUCAGAUGUUUUGAUUGUUUGAUAAAUGAAAAUCUAUUUGCUGAACUUGUUAAGUAGUGCUGAACCUGUGUGUAUUUUUUUCAGCACAAGAAUCCUAAUUGAAUGCUUAAUUCUGAUAAGAAUCAGUAGAAUUACUUCAACUACCUUAUCUUAUCUACCAAAUCUACCAUUGUUUGUUAAUUACGUUCAAAAUUCUUAUCUAAUUAAACAACCUAAUAUUCUCUAUCUAACGAUUUUUAGUUUCUCUUUUCUCCCUUUUUAAUGACUUUCACAUCUUCUUCGUACUCCUCAUAUAAUAUAUUUCAUCUUUUAUAUUAAUUUAAUUUAAAAAAAAUAUUGUCAUUUUCAUACCUAACAAAUUUAAAUUAAUUAAAUCAUAGAUUCUAUUUCUUUUUUGAAGGAUAUAAGAGCAAAAUUGUCAAAUUAAACUUAUUAAGCAUUCAACUAUAAAUAUUUAUCAAAUAGUAUAAAUAGAUUUAGUAUUAAAAUUCAGACAUUUAUAUAUUUUUUUCGGUGCUUAAAAUUCAGUAAAUUAAUUAUUUCAGUAUUCAGAUUUCAGAAUUCAGAAUUCAGUUUUAUCAAACGGAACCAAAGACAAAUGAACUGCUGAAUUCGAAAAUCUGCAGUGUUGAAGGGGUGAAUAGAAUUAUUCGACCAAGAAAAUGACAAUGCCUUGCGAUUAAGGCUCUUGAGGAGGCUAUAGUUGGGUAGAAAGAACUGGAAAAAAGAAAAGUGGUCGGUGAUGGUCUAACUUUUGGACUCACUCUGUCCAUUUGAAGGAGUCAAGAGAACUAGAUGUUAUUGACUGGUUUGAUCCCUUCUUGCUGAAAAUUUCAACUCCAAGAUUGUUCUUCUAAGUUCUAAAUGGCAUCCCUAUAUUGCUACAUUUAUUGUAAACUUCAAACUGUCACUAUUAGACUCAUAUCAGUGCCAUUGAAACUUUUUCCAGAAUGAUUUUUCAUGUUCCCUGAGAUCAACCCACAUUAUCAGGGAUUCCAAAACCAAAACAAUAUUUUAAAAUACGAUAACAAAACAGCCCACUAGAAUGAAGUCCCUUCCCAAGUAUAGAAUUCUUUCGCUCUAUACAGGGCUUAAAUUUUAAUCGUUGCAACAGCAAAAUGUAGAGAAAAUUAGAACAUGAGGUAGACCAUAAGAAACUUCGAACAUUUCUACUAAAGAUUACAGAAUUGUGAUACCAGUAGCUCACAAAAUUCAUAGCAGGGUUUCGCAGUUCCACUAACAAGGUACUUUCCCCAAACCCCAGGGGCAAAAAAAAAAAUUUCUUAAACUACUUGUUAAAUCCUAGGCAACACUAAAUGUCUUCCAGUAAGUCAUCUUAUUUAACAUGUACUUAAAAAUGCUAUUUCUGCAUAGUCGUGAUAAUGCUGCUGCUAUCCCGCGAAAACGUCUAAGCAUCUAGUUUGUUUCUCCGUCUCUCUCUUCUUCUAUACCCUCAAAUAGGCAUACCUUUGGGUACAAUUUUAUCCUUAAUCCACAUGUAUAUUGGAAUAAGCACAUAAUAAGUUGCUGCCAAUGCUCCAAGAAUGAAACGUGUGAGAAACACAAAUGGAUUCACAGGCUUCUUCACAUCCUCCACCUUAGGACCAAGCUGCAGCAGGGAAUUAUUCUCAAGAAACCGCAAAAGAUGAAAAUGUGCUGAAUCUAAAGCUAAUCACAGGCAAUAUAUUCUCUAAAGCUAAACAUUUGCCGAAUUUACAGUGCUCAGCAUAGCAACAUCUCAAACAAUCUAACUGUGUUUGACCAUCCUUGUGCCUCUCUAAUGUGACGUGAAGAAAUUUAGAGCUCGAUGUUCUAAAUUCUGAAAGAUAUCAGAUGAGAAAUUAAUUUCGUAGAAUUUUGCUUCACAACUUCUGCAACAAGAAAGGCAUGCCGGAAUGACCAGAAGUACAAGAGAGAAGUCCCUCAGAUUUGAUAACUUUUUAAUAGCUGUUACAAUCUAACUGAAAAUUGUCUUGUCCCAUGCCCAAAGAACAUCUGAUGCCAAAAACUAGUUAUGCAAGAUACUGACAACAUUAAGUUACAACCUUACUUGCCCAGAGUGGAGAAUAAAACCUAUCAAAGUAUACAUCAGAAGACCAAAAGUGAAGUGGAUCAUCAGAUGUCCAAUAUGUUGCAUACAAAUCAGAUAAUCACAAAGCAGGACUCUUGAAAUAUUACUUAAAACAGCAAAUGAUUAUAGGCUAAGUUUAUCAUUAAAAUGGUUAUAACUGAUUAGAAUAGAUAAUUGGUGGAGAAAUAUAAUAACUUUCUAUCAAAAGUCUAUAGGAUGUUAAUUUUUCAAAUACUUGUACAGGGAGUCUUUAAAGCAUAGGAUGUUCUGCUCUAUAGCAUGUCUACACUGCUGUUUAUCAAAGAAACUCGCAUACAGUUAUAAGUUAACAUCCGAAACUCAUAUGCUGAGCCUGCUGGUUGAUGUUCAAAAGCAUCAAGCCAUUCUACAUUAAAUCAUGGGAACAAGAGAUUCAAAUGCAAAACUCCAUCCCAACCGUAAUAUGUUGAGAAAGAGGGUUGUCAUACAAAACUCUAUCUUUUUCACAUUUAGGACCCGAAGAAUAUGGUCGUUCACAAGUUUUCUACACUCUGGUAGCCUAGUAUUUAGUGUUCUCAAGUCAAAAGCUAUUACACGUUGAGCAUAAUUAGGAUUUAUAAGUACUCAAAGUGAAUUUACAAUGAAAUUUGAUGUCUGUGGUUUAGACUGUUGAAAGUAGCUCAUAAAUAUCUACUACAUUCAGUAGUUCAAAUGAGUAAGAGAUAUGCAUAUAAAGAUGUGACAACUCGGAUAACCUCAAGAAAAUAGCACUUUAAGCUCCUCCAUAUCUGUAAUCCUUUUUGUAUUCAACCAGCUAGUUCUCCUUUAAAUCUGUCAGUUAAACCUACCAUCUUUUGUUAAAAAAUAAGCAAGUUCACAAGCACAUCCAGGAAAAGAAGCUACAGUAACUGCUCAAGGCAGAUAUGCAGCAUACACAACCAUACUUAAUUCUUUUCUGGUCCAGAACCCAGGUUUUUUCAAGCCGUGUUUCUUUCAGAUUGUUAAUCCUCUAUAUUCCUCUCGAUACAUUCAGAGGUCUAACAAAUUCGAUUACUCUUCUUCCAUUGCUUUUACUUUUUCUUUUUCUUUCUGAUUAAUGCUUAAACCAAUAACAUCCUUCCUCCAAAAAAAACAAAUUUCUCUUCAGGUUUUCAUUUUAGGACAUGAGAUGUGCAAGGAAACAAGUGAAAAGAAGCAAAAAGAAAGAUAACAUUUUUAAUGAAGAAAAAAUUUGCUACCUGCAAUGGAGAAUCUCCGGACAUAGGUUUAACACCAGUAACAGAGCAACCCAUGAUCAAGCCAUGACGGCGGACACCACGAUACCAUUUUGGACCAAUUCUCUUUAACUUGACGUCUUUAAAACCAGCCUUUUGAAACCACUCAAUGUACUCUUCUUCCUUGGGAAAUAGCAUCCACACAUCCGCAAAAAAUCGAGACAGCCAAAAUGUUGGAUAAACAGGUCCUAUUAUGCAGGCUUUGCCUCCUAUCUUGAGUACCCUAUAUGCUUCCCUAAUACCACGCUGUGGAUCUGGCCAAUACUCGAUACUUGGGGAGAAGAUAAAAUAUUGCAUCAGAUACAUCAUAAUUAGAAGGCUAAUGUGGUUUUGUGUGUGACUGCGUUCACAUAUAAGAUGCUACGGUCCAAAAGAAGAAAAAGCGAGAAUGAGUGUAACAUUCCAAGGUAGACUUCAACAUUUGAUGCACUCAUAGAAAUCAACAAAGACAAACUCAUAAAAGUAUCAUUGAUAACAUGGUAUCCUAAUUUUGCAAUGGCAAAAGCUCAUUAUGACAGUAUCCCCAAGCUUAACAGCCCCUACAGCCACAUCACUAACAUCUUUCAGCAGAUUAUUCAUUUUACUCUUUUAGCUAUUGAAGAACUAUAUAUUUCUGAUAAAAAGCAUUACCAUCACACUGUUAUGGCCCAAACCAGAGUUACUGCAAAAGCUAUAAGUAUACAAGAAGCACAAAUUUUGUUCCAAAAUAAGCUUUCAAGGAAAUAGGGAAUUUCAGGAGAAUCGACCAGAACUGAUGAGUAAACAAUAUAAACCUUAUCUAACCCAAAUUAAGAGGAAAUCGCAACCGGAAAGAAGAGAAAAUACCUUCCAGCAGAGAUGUAUCUAUCAGCAUAAUCAGUAGGAAAAGGGAUAUCUUCAGCAUCACCUUCAAUAAUCUUGCAGUCUUUCAAAGGUUCCUUCUCCUUAGCCUUAGCAAGUUGAUGCGGUGACUGAUCCAGAAUGGUCACAUUUUUAGCAUCAACAUGUUUAACAAUCCCAAGAGUAGUAAACCCUGUACCGCCCCCAACAUCAACCACAGUCAAAUGUCUACUAAACAAAUCAGCAGGCUCAAGUGCCUCGUCCCUCAUGUCCUCAGUCCAAUGCCCUGGAUUUAUAAUAUGAUCAUAAACAAUUGACAAGAAUCUAUAGAACCAAAAAGCCUCUUGCUUGUGUUGAAUAAACCUGGGUUGAGAAACUGGCCUUGAUGAAGAUAAACUGCAUUUUGGUGCCAAAGUUGAAAUAUACCAUCUUUUUGGAUAAUAAGCAAGACCCUUUUUGGGCAACGGCCUAAAAUGGAGUUCCGACCCAAAACCUGUAAUAAGUUUGCUUUCAGCUCCACUCAGCAGUGACGAAGCCAUCAUAUGACAAACCAAGGAAAACCCACCAGGAAAAACUAGCUCUUUCACGAUGUAAGCUAUCAAAGGUCUUGAAAAUUAUCAGCUAAUUAGUGAUUCACGUGGGACGUUUUGAAACGAUUAUGUAGAUAGGGACGAACCCAUAUAAGUAAUAAGAGAAAGUUGAUUAAGAAAUUUGAGUAAAUAUAUGAAGGAGAUUACCGAAAAAAAAAUCCCAAUAAGUUUGAAGAGGUUGGAGUAGCAGAAACACAACCACAAGUUAGGAUUUCCAAAGAGAUUAGGGAAGCUCUUGAAAGGGACAGGAGGCGCAAUGAUUGAAGCUAUGUCGUUUUGUGCAUGCUGCUAAUUGCUUCUAAACUGCGUCGUUUUGGUCUACCCUUGAAACUGGGAACUUUAUGAAUACUAUUAGAGGAUUUUUUUUUGAGCAAAUUUUAUAUACACUAUCGGUGUAUAUACUAUCACAUUUGAAUGGAUGAUACGUGAGUAAAUUUUGAAUUUUAAAUUCAAAUUUUGCACGUAUAUCAUAUAUCUAACGGUGAUAGUAUAUAUAAGAUUAAUUUUUUUUAUUUGAAAUUUUAGUUUUCUUUAAUAGUAGUAGUGUCUUUUCAUCUUCUUUGUAACUAAAACAAGGUCACUACUUCAGAUUUCCUGCAAUAACCUAGUAAAUAUGUUUGAUUAGCCUUUCUUGUUUAAUUAAUUUUUACUCCAUUGAUAAUGUAUAUUAGUAUAUAGUAGUGGAAAUAAAUGUAUGAUAUAUAUGCAAAAUUUCAACGGAGGUACAAGUAAUCUUUUAGCUAUGUAAAUGAAGCAUGAAGCAUACAAUUUUUUGUGACCAAAUAAUGGCAAAUUUUUUAUUAUCCUUUAAAUACGUUUUUUAACCAUCUUUUCUGGCACAUAGUAGUUUAUAUCACAGGAAGUGUUAUAAUUUAUAAUACAAAAAAAAAUUUAUAAAUAGUAUUUAAUCCAAACACAUACACACACACAUCUGCAUUAAUAUAUGUACAACUCAUUGAAGUAUGAAUUUUUUGUAUUUAAAAUUUUUAUUGGACUAAGCUUCUUAAAACAUUGAUUAUUAUUAAAGUGAUGCAGUACGUCUAUUAAAUUGUUUGUGAAAUCAGAUUAAAACACUGGUAUGAUUAUUGGACUACGCUUCUUAAAACACUGGUAGAGUUAAAAGUGAAAUUAGACGGAAUGACCCAAAAUUUACACAUUUGAUAGUUCAGUGGAUAAAAACAUACAAUUAAUAGUUGAGCGGUUGAAUCUUAGCUGUUUAAAAAAUUCAGUGGCUACCCGAAUAAUUUGCUCAACGGAUAAAUAUAAAGGAAUGCACUCAGUUUCUUUUAUUUCUGUUGCUGUAUCAGAGGUUUAUAAGGGUUACGUAAAAUGUUGUGAAAAUCCAUACAAGUUCAAUCUAUUAACAAAGGUGUAUGUGGUUGGAAAAUCCUCAUAUUUGACAGCUAAAAAUUGUUGAAUACGUGUAGUGGCCUGCAUAGCUAACUAGAUCAAACAGUUCUUUAACAGAAACUGCAGAUGCAGCUAGUACCAGAAGAUGUGUUUCAGAGUUCAGCAGUGAAUGUUGACCCAAAUCCUUUUCUUUCAUGACCAUUCAGAUGGUUUCUUAACCUCACGGAGCUGGACUGAGUUCUCAAAACAAUGGUAGAAACCAUAAUGUGGGAAUCUCUCGUACCAAGUGUCUUGCUGUACAUGAGUGUCCCAAUGCUCCCCGCUGCUGCUUUUGCCAUACUUGUGCACCCAGCCAGAAUUGUUAUGAUGCUCACCCCAAGUGCGAUUCCAACGGUCUCCAUGUUUGCCUUGCCACCAUGUCUCCCCUUGUUUUACACCAUUCCCAUUUAGAUCAAAGUUCUCAUCCCAUUUAUCGCCCCAUUUAUCCCAGCCAUCACCCUGGAAACACUCAGCCCACUUGUCUGUGUACUUGGCACUCCCACCUUGCCCAUCAUACGUCUCACCCCACCUGCCAAGAAAUGAAUAGCAUGCUUUAACAUUAUCUUUGGAAGCAGCACCCACUAUUCACAGUUUUUUAUAUAGAAGGAAAUGCUUAAUCAACUAAUGUCAUUUGUUUGUGAAAACCAUAGACCAGGAAAUAAAGGAGGCGAAGGUGUGUAACAUGAGAUAAAACAAUAGCCCCCUCUCCUGUUAAACACCUGAUUCUACAAUUUCAGCUUGCUCAAUUCUCAUUCCAGCGUCAUUGUUAAAAUAUGAACUUCUGCUGUAUUAAAAAUGGUAAACCCGUUUAUUAACAUCCAAAAAGAAUUUGAGAAAAGAAAAGAAACUCCUAAAGGUACGGGAGGUUCAACAGUUGAAGAAAGGAACAUAGUUUGAACUAACUCCAUUUUGCAAUGAGAAAAGUGCUGGAAAGACUACACACUUGAGAUCACACCUCAAAUGGUAGUGUGAGCACAAAAAGCACUGCAAAGAACAAAUUUAGAGUACCUUUCAUGCCAAACAUGAGCAUGACCAGCUUCUAGAGGUGUGUUGGGAUCAAUGCUGCACCACUUAUGAGCCCACUUUUCUGCUUUGCCAGAGGCUCCAUAAUGUUCCCACCAUUGUUCCUGCCACUCAUCGCCUUUCCCAUUCUUUCCCCAUUUAUCUGCAGUUUUUUCUAGUUGGACAAGCCCACCAUUCUGCACAGAAACACAGUCAGGACAUGUUACAGUGAGUACACGGAGAUCUUGGUUUUAGUUUUUAAUUCAAAGAACUUGUGCCCUCUAUAAUGCAUCAAAUUUCUUAUGCUCCUUUUGUGCCCUCUAUAAUGGUGGCAUAAAUACUUUUCUUAGCUUCUAAUCAUGAAGCAUGUAUAUUAAAGGAAAGAUCUCAGAAUCCAAUUUUUGUCUCCCAUACACAACUCCAACUAAAGAAAAAUAUAUGCUAAAUCAUCAUCUGUUUUUGUAGAACCAAUUGAUUAAAUUAUUAUUAUUAACUGCAAGGAACUGAUUUUAACUUAAUGAAACAUUCAUGUGAGAUAAAAUUCACAUGCCCCGUGCCUGACCUGACUCAUGGAUUCUCUCCAAUAUUCAUGCCAAACAUUUCCUGUAGCAUCACGUCCUGAUUUCUCUGAACCAAGUUCCUUGUAGCCAAACUCAUCAGCCGCCUCCCAAUAUUUCUCUUCCCACUCUACAACUUUGUCAGAACUCACACCCCUGGUUAGAGUCCACUUGCAAACCACUCCAUCAGGCCGUCUUUCCAGUCCUGUAUCCUUCCACCAUCUAGAUCCAUCUGGAUAAAAGCCCUGGGAUGAUACUUCUUUUGCCUCAUAAAGAGCCUGCACAGCUUCAGCUGCAUUAGCUGAAAAGGCAAUACCAAGUUCAUGUUCCUCCUCCAGGUGAGGUGUUUCUUCAGCAGAGCUUGAAACUCCCAGUUCCUCAACUUCCACAAGUGAUUGCAAAGGAGGAAGUGGAGCUUUACUUGGGAAACUUUUACUCUCAAAUGGAAGGAAGAGAAAGUCUGCAGAUUGUUCUUUCUCCAUCACAGGGCUGAUAUUGGUAGGAUCUAAAAAAGCCUUCAUGUCCAACUUUGCUUUUAUCCCAUCUAUAGCGUCAUCAGUUUCUGAGGGAGGCAUCCAUGACCAAAAAUUUGGACCUGGUGUUCCAGUGCUAGUGCCUCCAGUUAGAGACAGCAAAGAGUUGCCAUUUUGUUCUCCUGGUCAAUUUUGAAACUAAUGAAUUUGCACCAAGGUAAUUAAUUGAGAAAAAUGCCGUGACCUUUGAAUGGUGAAAAUUUGCUAUUGCAGACAUUGCACAGAGAGGCAAAGCACUCAAAGUUAAAGAUAACCAACACCACUGAAAUACAGGAAAGAUGGAAUAAGCAAAAUGACUUGCAUCGAAAGGGUUUAUCAUCUUAUCCUGGAGGUAUAUCAACAAACAAGUACCAGUCGGCAACGCACAUAUGAGAUUUGAAGUUUCCCUGAACCAAAAAAAUCACUAAGGACCAUGAUUGAGGUUUGAGGUAAAGUUGCAAAUACUAAGAAUGCUCAAAGAUCUACCCAGGUUCAUGUGGUGUGCAUACCAGAAUAACAAGUGGACUGCUUUUAGUCAACUAAAGACAGUCUCCGAAGAAAGAAGAGAACGGAAACAUCCAGUCAAAGAGCAAUAUACUGACAAAACAUUUGCUGCACAAGAAUGUUGACAACGUCCUUUCACAUUGACGGAAGCAAAUAUGAGUAUCUCAUGCGCUUGGGUUUAAGCUACUAAGCCUUGUUAAUGUUUGACAGGAUUCUUCACAAACUUGAAUAAAACACUCAUGUAAUCAACCUCUUCUGAAAUACAUUAAAAAAAAAAAGGCAAAGGUUACAUUACACAAAAAUAAAUAAAUAAAUUUAAAAAAAAGAAAAACUUAUUGAACAGGAGAAAUUUAGAAUUUAUUAACGAUUCAUCCUAGACGAAUUUCAACCACUAGGAUUCCCAUUUUAAGCAUCACUCUAAUCUUCAUUCUAGAAUCUUAGUUGAGAUCAAGAGGAAGAAGCCUUCUGCGUAAUUUGACAAACAUCAAACUAGACAGUUCCACAUGACAAUUUUUUGCUCAUAUACAACUAGAAAUUGACACAGAAAGGGACAAAUUUAAUGCACUAUUUAUGCUUCAGUUGCUCAAUAGUCUGAUGACGUCAAGUAAACAAGUUCAUCUUCCCAAAAUCUCAUCUAUAAACAAGAAUGCACUUCCAAAAUAAUCAGCAGGUACUGCGUGAAUGGCUUCCUAAUCUCAAGUUCCCAAAUUAUGCAACUAAAACUAGCCCUAAAAGCAUAUACAUUUCCACUUCAUCAAGUCCAUUAAAAUUGUUAAGUUGACAUCCCAUAAAUGUAUAGCAGCAUAAUACCUCUCAACCAUUGACAACAACCAUAAAACAGAAACAAAAAGAACAAUUUUUUCCUUCCAAAUUAAGAGUCAAAUUACCUCUGUGAUCAUCCUCCACAUCUUCACCAGCCUCAACCUUCACUUCACUGGAUUCCUGCAUCUUUGGCGGCUUAUUCUCCUUAAGAAGUGCUCUUGCUGCAGCGAUUGCGGCCGCAGCCCGAUCAACAACCUGCAUUCUCUGGAUUCUGUCUCUUUCUUCAGUAGAAACAUCAAGAAUCUUCUGAAACUCGCUGCUUUUUCUCUCCAACUGUUCUUGACUAACUUUUUCUUCUUCCUCUGCCUCUCCAACAUCAUCAUCACUGUCUCUAGCCAUGUUUUCCGCAAUCCUCUCAAAUUCUUUGGACUUCCUGUCACGAUCCACAGCCUUCUUCCACAUGUCCAAGUACGAGUCUCCGCCACUUGAGACAUGGAUUCUUGUACUUCUUAGAAUUCUGGGCUUGUUUUUUUUAGUCAGUUUGAUGAGGUCUGGAGGUUCUUUGAUGAGAAUAAAAUGUGGGUUUUGGAGUUUGGGGAUGCGGGGUUCUGAGAGGGCGGCGCGUGUGCUUGCGCGUAGGCAGUUAUAGCUAAAUUGGCUAGCCAUAUUUUAGUUAGUGUUCUGGGAGUGUUCUGGGAGAGAAAACAGGGGAGAGAGGAUUUCGGUGGAUUUGAUUACGCGAAGGGUGUGCUUAUUGGAGUAGUUUAUUCAUUUAUGUUAACUUUAUAUAUAUGUGGGCAAAGAUUAAAGAUUUUCUUGAAAUUGAAGGAAAGUUGUGAUGCUGUCUGCUUCUAGAGUUUUGCAUUGCAGAGGAAACCAGGAAAGGCGCCAGGUUUAACGGAUUUAGCUGUUUCUGUACCUUUUUAAGCUUUAUUGAAAAGGACAAAUUAUAUUUUACCCCCUGUAGUUUUCGCAAAAACCACAUAACCCUCUUAUGAUUCUAAAAGCUAUACAUAAACCCCUUGUGUUUUAGGUUGAAGUGUCAAACAGACAGAAAGUAUCCAUCGUGACGAUUUGUGGGCCAAAUGUCCAAAUUACCCUAAUAUAAAUAUAAAAAAAGGAAGCAAAUGAAGUCAGAUUUUCUCUUACUCUAGUCUUUGUCGUGAGAAAGAAGAAGAGAAAAUUUUAACCCACAAAAUUAAAACCCUAGAUCUACCAUUGAAGAUCAAAAAGUAGCUGUGAAAGAGUAUCAUGAAAGCUAUUGCUGUGUCUGGUAAGUUUUCGACAUCAGUUUAGCAUAUAAGAUGCUUUUUGUUUAUGGUUUGUUGCUGGACUUUUUGUUGAAUCUUGGUGUCUGCUGGACUUUUUGAUUAGGUACUUAUGUACCUUAUUUUGUUUUGUAAAAACUAAUUGAUGUAUUACCAGAUUUUUGUACGGAGAAUAUUUUUUGGUGUCAACAUGCCGGCUUUGUCAUUUGCCAAUCUGAGUGGGGUUAAAAAAGAUUGUCACUUCUAUUUGUGUAGUGAAAGACGGUGCAAAGUUGAUGCAAAUAGUGCGUGCAUUAAUUGUAUUUAUGCUACUCUCAGAAUAUUCACAAAUCGAAAAUCUGACCAUAUAUCCGCAAGUUGGUUUAGCAAUCAAGUUUGGGUAAUAAAAUCAUAGAAAACCCAUUCGUUCAGUAUCUACAAACUCCACCAGUAACGAGUAUAUCAUACUUGCGUUUUGAGAAAUACAAGUAUAUCAUCCUAGUGACAAAGUGUAUCAUACUUGCCUUUGAGGCCCAUUUUGCAGAUUGAGCCGAAUGAGCUCUCGAAUGGAGAAACAACCUAUGAGAAAAUCAAGCUGAUCAUGGUUGAUUCAAGCAGGUGAAGGAGUUUCACAGGUUUCUUUCUCUAAUGUCCGUCCUGGGGAAAAUCUCAUCCUGUUUUGCCUCCCAUUUGCUACAUCAGUAAAUGAAGCCUAAAUAGCAUGGUGGUACAAGUUUUCAUAUACAGAUUGCCUCCCAUUACCAGAUUUUUGUAAUAAUACCAAGCCUUAUUGGGUGUGUUAAAGUGGUCAGGGUAAUAUGGGAACGUUUCUAACUGCAACCAGCACCACAAGCGUGUUUAAGCCACGAAUCGUCACGAUGGGUGCUUUCUGUCUGUUUGACACUUCAACCCAAACCACAAGAGAUUUAUGUAUAACUUUUGCUUUCUGUCUGUUUGACACUUCAACCCAAACCACAAGAGAUUUAUGUAUAACUUUUAGAAUCAUGGGGGGUUAUGUGGUUUUUCCAAAAACCACAGGGGUAAAAUGUAAUUUGCCCUAUUGAAAAUGAUUGGCAAUUGGGAGGGAUUGGGAUUUGACACCUGGCAGGCUUAAAAUGUAAGGCUAGCAAAUUUUUGAGUAGGGAUUCCUUAUUUAUAACCAUUUUCUUCAGGGCAAAGUUCUGCUUUUGAUCAUCUGUAUUUGCUUUAUCUUGAAACUUGUUCAUUGAAGAUGUUUUCUUCUUGAGGCAACCAUGCAAGCUCUGAGCUUUAAAUCCACCAUGGAAUUUGCUUUAAAAGUUCUUUGUUAUAUUUUGCGUUCUAUAAUUAUCUGAAUUGAUGAGAUUUCACUAAUAUAGUAUUAUAUUGUACAACUUCUCAAUCGCGGAGAGAUAUUGGUAAAACUAAAAUUGUCACUCCUAAGUUGUUCAAGAUAAUUGACAGCCUUUGAAUCUCCAAUUUGCACCCCUCUUAGAAUAAUGGUGACAUCCUCAAGAGGUUACUGCUUUGUGAGGUUUGGAUACGCAGCGAAGUUGUAUUGGUCUGACUGAUGUCCAUUACAACUCCAUAUCAAAGUCACGAAUAUGGAUUUUGGAGAAGGAAUGAAAUCUGAACUCAAGCAUGAGAUUUUAUAGAAAUCACUAGUUAAUCCCAUGAGGCAAACCACAAACACAAAUUUUACAGCAGAUGAUCCAUAAUCAACCCACAACAGUGAAAGUAGGUAAGAUCAUUAUUGAUUAGCCAGGCGAGCGACUAUGCCGAUUAUAGGUGGCAAAAGCCAGACAGAAGACAGCAAGAGCACCAAGACUUGUGAGCAUGAUCAGGAAGAGCAUAUAAUUUGGGAGAUGCUCAUUUACGCAUAGGCCUCAGGAUUCUGGAGGAGAUAGGCCUCAACUGCUUUGUACAUGCCCAAGACCUUUUCUUUGCCGGCCUUGACUUCAUCCUCAUUGAGCUUGAAAUCCCCCCGAGUGUAGUAUUUGCUUGUCACCUUAGAAAUGGAACCACCAUCAGGUCCCUUCUCAAACUUGAUCUCAUAUGUUAUUUUCUCAAGCUCGUCAAUCAAUGCAUCCCCUUCGACCAAUGUGUAGCUGUAUGUUAAUGCAUCAUCAUUCAGUUCAUCGAUGCGAUACUUGAUAGAUUUGAAGUUGCUACCUGCAUAGGAAGAACUAUUAGCCUAUUCUUUCCUUCAUGAUUCAACAUGUUUUCGCUUUUUCUCUUUCUUAACAUUUGGUUGAAUGAAUCUAAACUGUUGAUGUCUUUGCAAAAAGUUGAUGACCUUACCUUCUGCAAAAGUAAUCUGCUUUAUGCUCCCAGCACCUCCAUCACCCUCAAUGAUAUCCAUGCUUUUGAUUACUUGUGGUAGGAGUUUUGGAAUCAAGGUAUGGGAGUCAACAAUUGAAGCCUUGAAAAUUCUUGAUGGGGCAACAGGCGAAGUGUGUUCAUCGGUGUAAGAUGUCACCCCCAUGAUAUUUGCCUAGGAAUAUCAGAAAAUAUUAAGACCAAUGAUUGGUCAAGAGGAGGGUUCAGUAUUAUUGCAAGGGUAUGGCAGAGGAAUGAUAUUUAUAGGUAGGAGCAAUGGGAACUUUGUAAUCAUCUAAUUGCUAACAAAUACUUUUGUACGUCUGAGACGGCCAUGUUCCACUAUUUGUCCAAUUUUGCCUGUUUUUUAUGUUUUCAAUCUAAAUUCCAACUCCAAAUAGUUAUCCAGGAAUUGCAAAAGGAUAAACUAGGUUCCCUGAGUUUGAGGGACUGCUCCAAGGAGAAUCACUCUAUUUUAUUCUUCCCCUUGUCACCAAAUUCUUGAGUGAAAGAGGCCGACUGCCGUGUGACGAGUACUUCAACAAAUAGACCGAAAGACAAGAGUUAAAAAAGUGCAAAUCAACCUUUAAUCCAGCAGGAACCAGAAUUAUGCCUUUCGGAAGAAAACAAAAAAAAAGACUCUACUUUGAGGAUUUCAAGUACUACUAGCUAAGAAACAAACCUUAAUAGCCCACGUAUGCUCCAUAAGACUCUUGUGGUAUUGACGGCCCAAAAAUCAGGGACAUUGGGCCUCCGUGGCACCUCUGGUGGGAUACCCGGCUUGUGAAAUGGUGGCGCUGUUGAGACCUCCGGUGGAGAUUUUGCCGGUGGAUCAUCUGGGCCGGUGAAACUCAAAUUUAGCUGAAGCAUGCACAAAAUUUUGGUUGUCACGGGCCCGAUCAACUUUCUGGAGUGAUGAUACAGAGUUGGAAGCUUGCAACAGCGAUGAAGGUCUUAUACUCCCCGUUGUUGAGGAUAAUGCAUGAAGGAAGAUAGUUUUCUUGAUCAAGCUUUGAUGAAAUUGCAUAAACAACAAUUAUAAGAAAGAGAGAAAUUCCGGUGGGACGUUUGUUGAUUUGCGGUCAAUGCUUGAAAGAACAAGACGGUGACACUUGGAUUUGGUGCCACGACACUUGGACACAAUUGCCACGACGAUGACACUUGGAUUCCAUGCAAGGGAUCCCUUGUUUUUGUCAUAAGCUUGUGGGCUCUUUUUCGAGAAAUUAAUAUGUCAUUGUCAAUUUUGUUUUUGUUUUUUUAACAAGAGAACUUCAAUUUAAAAUCCCUUAUUUAUCGUCUUUUUUAUAUUACCAUCUAAUUCAAUCCUCUCGAUUUUUAUCUACUGCAACAGGUGCAGUUCCAAUCAAAUUGCUUUCCUUUGGAUACUUUAUCGAACACAAGAUGAAAAGGAAUUUGAGUUUUCCCUUCGAUUAUUAGAGAAGGAACCAUAGCCCUUAAUCAAAUCCAAUCGAACCCAGUUCUCUUUAGCAAAGUUGAUUUGCUGCACGUCCGACCAUGUUUCUUUAGUCCAUCAUUGUGCCACCGUAUAGGCGCUUGAAAAUUGAACCUAAAUUAUUAUUUUUGAGAAAUAGUGCUUUAAUUACUUAAUCUAAUCAACCCUCGUACUCAAAUGUGCUUUCGUUUGAAAAAAUUUUGGGACAUGUUAAAAGUACUUUUUUCUUUUAAGAUUUGAGAAGCACAAAUAAAAAAGGGGACAUUGAAUCCAAAAUCUUCAAUUUUUAAAAUUUCAACUUUAAUCGUUAGACUAAGGCGUGCUUCCAUGUUAAAAGCAUCUUUCAAGACCUUUCUUAAACAAAUUUUUUGGCAUGAAUUUCCACACAUUUCAUGACUAAAAGGGUGCCAAAUAAAGGAGUUGUUUGUUCUUGUACCCUAUCACACAGGGAGUGAGCAAAAGAUCUUGAAAAGCAUGCAGGGGUUAUGUUGAAUGUGUAGAAAGAACCACGCCUUGAGGGUCUCACUUCCCAUGCACUCUUAAAAGCGUGGUCACAAUGGAACAGUAAGAAACCACGUCCUCAACCGGCAAAUACUGUCAGUUAAUUGGUCGAAGGCAGCUCGUGCCUGUCUGCCGGCACAUAUAAUACUGAACCAAGUACGGAGAGGGCUACGGUUUUGUACUGUGUUCCCUUAGACCUUAGUCACGUGACAAACAGAAAGCGGGCAAAUCCAGCACGCGCUCCCACUUCACGGGCUCAGCGUGUACUCUCACUGCCACUGUUCCUCUCAUUCUAUGCGUGACAUGAUUCGCCUCCGUCAACUGGAUUCCCACUGUGGCGGUAUCUUUAAGCAUGCCCACGCGCACUCCUUGGGCUGGAGCUUCACAAUUUAUUUUAUUUUCACUUUUUUUAAAAAUUUUUUUCUUCAUACAUUCAGCCAAUUUGGAAAAAAAGCUUAGCAAUCUGCAUGUUGUUCAAUCUGAAUGGAAGAAAAUUCCGAAGUGGUCAAUUUCUUGAAGACAACAGAAUACUUAACUUUAGCGGUGCUAGUGGCAUCACACAUGAAUAAAGGCCGGAUUCACUUGCUCACACGUUCAUGGAUCAUACGGUUGAAAGUGAAGUUGGAUUCAAUUUCUUUUUUUUUUUUCUCUAGUAAAUAAAAGUCUGAGAGAAUUUUGUUUCAGACAGCCAAAGAUGUACUCCCGAAACCAUUACUUUUAAGAGUUAAGAACUUUUACAUUUAGUGGUUUCACGAUCGUGUUCGUGAAUCUUAUCGUUUAGAUAACGUAUGGUUAAAUUUUGAACCCUAAUCAGUGAUCACUGAAUUAGUGUUUACAAAUCCAUACCGCUAGAUUAUUGAUGAUUUGUGGAUAGUUUUAGGUGCUUGUGAAUCUUUGACGUUGAUCAAAUUGAGAGGAUGGAGAUUCAAUUUGAAAUGAAAAGUUAUAUUGCAACACAAAUCUAAACGUGUUUAAAUGAUCGCGAGCUAAUCUUUUUUUUUUUUCCGAUAACGAUAAUAAAUUGUACAACUUAUUCUAUCAUUAUCUAUAGGGGAUGAGAAACUUAAGGAGGCUUGUGUGUUAUGUAUGCAGACCUAUUAGACAAAGGUUCUUUUUUUUUUUUCCGAUAACGAUAAUAAAUUGUACAACUUAUUCUAUCAUUAUCUAUAGGGGAUGAGAAACUUAAGGAGGCUUGUGUGUUAUGUAUGCAGACCUAUUAGACAAAGGUUCUGUUUGAUAACAUAAAAAAGUGCUGAAUCUGAAUUUUUUCAGACAUUCAGAUGUUUUGAGUGUUUGAUAAAUGAAAAUCUAUUUGCUGAACUUGUCAAGCAGUGCUGAACCUGUGUGUAUUUUUUUCAGCACAAGAAUCCUAACUGAAUGCUUAAUUCUGAUAAGAAUCAAUAGAAUUACUUCAACUACCUUAUCUUAUCUACCAAAUCUACCCUUGUUUGUUAAUUAUGUUCAAAAUUCUUAUCUAAUUAAACAACAUAAUAUUCUCUAUCUAAUGAUUUUUAGUUUCUCUUUUCUCCCUUUUUAAUGACUUUCACAUCUUCUCCAUACUCCUAAUAUAAUAUAUUUCAUCUUUUAUAUUAAUUUGAUUUAAAAAUAAAUAUUGUCAUUUUCAUACCUAACAAUUUUAAACUAAUUAAAUCAUAGAUUCUAUUUCUUUUUUGAAUGAAAGGAUAUAAGGGCAAAAUUGUCAAAUUAAACUUAUUAAGCAUUUAGCUAUAAAUAUUUAUCAAACAGCAUAAAUAGGUUUAGCAUUAAAAUUCAGACAUUUAUAUAUUUUUUUCAGUACUUAAAAUUCAGCAAAUUAAUUGUUUCAGUAUUCAGAUUUCAGACUUCAGAUUUCAGAUUCAGUUUUAUCAAACGGAACCAAAAGGAAUGUUAUGGCAUCAUUCUUGAAUUUUUUUUACAGCAGGCAAGGGUUGAACCCCAGUUACACUCCAAGGAAGGAUUUAAGUCCCUCCUGAUGGCCACUAAGCCAUGCCCAGUGGUUAUUCAAAGGUAAAAACAUUUCUUAAAGUUCCCAAAAAGUUUAGAGCGAGGUAGUCAGUGUUAUCAUUCCUAAACCUAUAAAUGUGAAUUUGCUAGCACUUAUAUGACCGUUUUUACACUAAACAAAUUGCGAUGAAAUGUUUUAAAGAUGAGACAAUAAUGUGAAUAACCGAAAACAAAAGGCCAGGAGAAUUUCACCUGCACUUUUUGUAUAGGGAAAAUCGUAAACUCACACGAGGCCAUGAAAGGAGGGCGGAUAAACACAAGGUGACAAGAAGUACGCAAAUUUUUGCUGUUGUCUCUUACCCCAUUAACUGGACUUAGACUAGGCUUGGAAACCAAACCGAAUGAGAGAUCCAGACUCAAAAAGGAGAAGAUAUCCAGAGAAGAGAGAGAGACAGAAAAGACACGAAAAUGAUCAUAAUAUUUUUAUUAAAAGGAAAAAAAAAAGUGGAAAAAGCAAGACGAAAGACGACAACCUUUUUCUCUUCCUCCACAUUUGUGACAAAAUGCGCCUCCCAACAAAAAAGAAAAUAAAGAAAGCAGCCUUUUCCCCUUUCUUUUCUUUAUUAUUCUUCUAACCUGCCUUGCCUUUUGUUCGUUUCUUCCUACUCCUACCCCAUUUAUAUAGAUACGUGUUACUACUGCUUCUCUACUUGUUAUCCAAUUUGUUGUGCCCCAGUUCCCUUCCUUUGUCUAAAAAUUGCAACAAUUUGUCCUCGAAAUCAGCACACAAGAUACAAAUUUUCUUGUAAUGGCCUUCUCAAAUUGAUCAUCCAUCUGGGUUUUUGAGUUUUUCAGCUGGGAAUCCAUUUUUAUUCUCUGGGUUUUAGCUGCUAUGCACAUUUCCAUAUUCAACCGACAAGAAAAUUUGGUUUUUUUUUUGGGGUGUCUUUUCUGGUUUUAAGCCGAGUGAGAGAUGCAAUCAGUGAGCUCGGAGCAGGGGAGAUCGGCGGCAGAUACGAGAGGGAAGCAUAGGAUUUCUGCUGAAUUGAAAAGACUUGAGCAAGAAGCUCGCUUUUUGGAGGUCACUCUCUUUGCUUGACUUCUUAACUCCUUUUCACCUCUUCAAGUAUACAUUCAAGCUUUUCGUUUUCUUUUCCAUUUUUCUUUUUCCCUUCUCUUGUGGCAAUUGAUUGGCGAUUUUCGGUUUGAUUUUGAGUUCAAGUGGGUCCAAUUCUGUUUUCUUGCAUUGUUAUUGUUCAAUAAGAAAAUGAUGUCACACAUCGUUUUUCUUCUUUUUAUCUUUCUAUAUCAGGUAAAAGUGUGGUAUUUUUCAAUGAAAUUUUGUACCUUUAUUUUUCUGCUGAGGAAUACAAGGGUUUAAAAGCGGGAUAAACUUUGUGUUAGUCAUCUGUAUUGUCUCUAAUUUGGUUUUUGCGUUUGCAAAUUCUCGCCUUUGCCGAUUGCUGCUGUAAAUUGGAACUUUGAGGUGGGUUUGUGCGUUUUGCAAUUGCAGUUUUCGUGAAUAAAGUGUUGAAGUUGAUUGCAGUUUUGAGUUUGUGUUCAAAUAUAAGCCUCUUGCUUCAAAAUAGAAAGUUCCAGUUUUUUCCCACUAUGGACCCGUGACUAUCUAGUCUCUGUCAUGUGGACGAACUUCUGAUGUUGAUCAGUGUAGUUUUGAGUAAUAAUUUGCCUCGGCAAUUUGUUAAGGCUCUGGGUUGAGGUUCUCUGCUGGUUAUUAGUGUUUGCAAAGGCUUGGUGGGCUAAGUUGUGUUGAAUCUUUUAUGCUUUCAAAGCAUCAUUUAGUUCAUAAUACACUGUUUUAUCCAGAGAAAAUCCAGCGUAUCACUUGUCCCUCCUUUUUGUUUUUGUUGUGGUAGCCUUUUAUUCUGCUCCAAACGAACACUUGAUAUGUAAGAUCCUAGUCGAUAGGAACUUGACACAUUGUAUAUAGGGCACUAGAAUUCGUACUUACAAAGGUCAAUUAAAAGGAAGCCACAUUGCUAUCUGAAAUGGCACCGUGCCAUGACCUGCAGCAUCACCAAAAUUUUGAAUCGACUCUGCUAAGAUAAUGAGGUUUUUGAUUGACUCCAUUAUGAAGCACUCAAAAGGCUGACCAGUUGUAAGCCAGUGAUUACACCUCAGUAAUCACCUUCCAAGGUGAAGGCAAAAAUAUGUAUAUGCAGUUAUAAGUCAGUCAGUAGACCAUGAAGCACGUGAAUGCUAACCUCAAGAAGUAGUUUUCAUCUAAACCCUGUUAUAUGUAACUCCUCUCACUUCACAUAUAGAGUAAACCUUGUCUUUUCUUUGAGAUUCUCCUUCUCUUUCCUUGCUUAACAGCUGAAGUUAAUACAAUCCAGUCUAUUAGCUUUUGAGUUUUAUAAUCAGUGGAUUUUCUGAGGAUUUGUCUUAUAAGUUUGGUGGCAAGUAAGCUACUCUUCUUGUUUUUUAGUUGGAAUAUAGUAUGGAGACGCUGAAUGUUGCACCGGUUGGUUUCUUUCCAAAAUGACAUGAUAUUUCUCUAUUUCCCAGUUGUUAGACAUUUUUACUGAACUAAGAAGUACACUGUUACUACUUUUUAGUGGCCCUGUUCAUUCCUUUGCAUGAAGUUUCGAAGAAGACACUAGAUGAUGCUACUUGGAAGAGGAGGUUUGCAGUUUAACAAACUGCUCAUGUUUGAUGGUUGUUUGGAUUUUCUAGUCCUAAGAAGGUGAAGGGCGUGGCUGGUGUUUAUAGUUGGGUGGUUUUGUUGAUUAAUAGGUUGCAAAAAGGUGCCAGUUUCGUGGUGACUGUUAUAAAAUGCGUCUGUCUGAGAUCCUUAUCCCUUCCUCCUUAUAUUCUACCUCUUCAUCUUAUCCAGAAGAAACCAGCACAUUUCACCAUUCUUUGUACCUGAUUAGUUUAAUUUUUGGUGUAGCUCAAAAGAAUUUAGCAAGGAUCUUGCUCUGGUGCCAAUAUAAAUGAUGGCAAGGGCAAGGGUUCCUCAUCCUCUCGUGAAUUAUGCAAGCAAAUGCAUCUGCAAAAUGAAUUUGUGCUUUACAUUUGGAUUAAGCUUAUUCACUGUCGAUUUUAUAAUCAUGAUUUUGGGAUCAGGACUGGAACUGGUGAUGUUAGACUAUUAAUGUGGUUAGUAGUGCUAAGCUUAGACUGAGACCAAGUAGUAGUUAGGACUGCUUCCCCAUUAUCUUUAGAUAGAUAUUGGGUGGUCAUGUUUAUUAACUCGCACUAGUUCGUUAACCUUUUGAUCCUUUCUUGUGAGACUGCUUGAGAUUUCACCUGACGUAAUGACUGAUUCGGGUUGUCUGCAGCGAUAGUGUUUCAUGAAUAAUAUUUCAUUCCCUAAAGAUGAUGUUUUUCUGUGUAGGAAGAACUAGAACAGCUUGAGAAGAUGGAGAAGGCCUCAGCUUCUUGCAAGGAGUAAGUAAAUAUUGUAAAUAGUAUUUACUUGACCCAAUAAUUGUUUGAACAAUCCUUUCUACAUUUAUGGUAAUGGCUCAAAUGAAUUUUCUGUAAUGCAAUCUAGGAUGCUGAGUAAGGUGGAGACAAGACCGGAUCCGCUACUUCCAGCGUAGUACACCUCCUUGUAUUUUUUUCAAUGCUUUGAAAGUCUGCCGUUCCUUUCAAACCUCAUUCUAAAAGAACUCAUUUCUUUCUUCCAGGACGAAUGGCCCGCUCAAUCCAUCCUGGGAUCGAUGGUUUGAGGGGCCUCAAGAGAAAUCAGGAUGCAGGUGCUGGAUUCUGUGAUUGUUGGUGCUAGAGCAGUUUGCUAAAUUGAUGGUUGAGCUUGUUACAGAGUACAGAUAGGAAUAUCCUGUCAGGUUAUCAAAUGAUCCAUUGUGCAGAGAUUCACAAUUUUUCCUUACUCUAGAUUAUUCUAUAUCAAAAAAUUCUAUGUUUUCUCCCCUUUCAGUUACCCCUAGAAAUGGAAUGGAAUACAGCAUCGUGUACAAAUGCCCAUUUAUGUUCUUGUAAACAUGAUUAAGAAAUUUCACCUUAUAACCAAGAGAUAAUUUUCUGUUUUGUAUCCUCAUAUAUUUCUUUAUUGCCCUUCCUUCAGUUUGUUGUUUUUUCCUUUCUGAUGUGGGGAAACAGGAGGAACAGGACUUGGCUCUGUUAUCUACCCCACCCCAUAUAUGUAUCCUUUGUGAUUUUGGCAGUUUAAUUGCUGCAGCGCCCAUUUCUUGGUUAUGACUGUAUGUGUUCAGUGUGCAUCUAGAAAAAUUUCCAUAUGCAUUUUAAAGUAAUUUGAUACUAACAGUUAUUAACAAAGAAGAGGCAUAAUUUAUCAUUUUAGUGAUUAUUACAAGUCUAAAGAAUUUACUGCAAAAAUGAGCUGAAACCCAAGUUAAAACCAGGUAAAUGUUAAUUAGAAAUAUGUGUUUUUAAACUUUAAAAAAAGUUGUGGACUAAUUCCGUUCAACAAUUAGUUAUAAAUACCUUUCAAUCGAUAACAUUUGUUCCAAUUUUUUUUUUAGUUACUGCUAAACAUUAGAAGCUCCACCUGAAAACAAAUUUACAAUUUGUCGAAUAUUUUCGACUAUUUGUUGUUCAUCCAUAUUAUCAGGUUUCAAUUUUUGAUAAUUUGUUAUAAUUUGCUCGUCCCUACGCUGUCGACGAUGCAUGAGUUCUAGUUCAUGCGUGGUCUUCAAUCAAUUAUUUGUAAUAAUUUCUGCGGUCCCAACCCAAGUUGUGAUUGAAAGGCUAGCUAGCGGAGGAAUACCAGAGACGUUAUCCCAGAUAUAUUCCAUUAGCGGUUGAAGUCCAUCCAAAAGCUCCUUAUUAACGUAAGCAAAUCUCACUCACACGAAGCAAAAUCUGGUUGAAGAACCGUAUGUCACGAUAGUCUUCCGCCAAGCGAAAAAGCAAAGCGACCGCUAAAAAUCACCAACCGACAGAUCAACAGGAGCACAGAGGACUAGGAUUAAAACAUAUUUUUUAGCAAUCAAACUUGCCAAAUAUUCACUCAGGAGAAAAUGAAAUGAAAGGUACAACAUACAGCUCUGGUUUUUCCCUUUUCUUUUUCCACGCACAGGAGAACUCAAUCUGCAAGUGCAGGGAAACCAAUAAAAACAACGUAUUCCAACCACAGGAGCGAGGACUUCUACACAUGAACUUUAAUAUUCUUUAUAUCAACUCUCCAAGCUUGGAGCCUUUCCACUAACCCGUUGUGCUACC